CUGAACCGAAUGGGAAAAAUGCAAGGCGUCCAUUUGUUGCUUUCAACACUCCUUCAGCGAACCUUUCUGGUUUAAACUCAUUUGCAUCUUCGCCCCACAAUUCUGUGUCUCGGUGAAGUAUGAUUAUUGGCAACAUCAAUAGUGUAUCGGCGGGGAUAGUGUAUUGUCCUAACUUUGUUUCUUCUUCAACCAAUCUAGACAGUUCAACAAUUGGUGGAUACAGCCGUAAUACCUCAUUGAAAAUCAUUGUUGUCUGUUAGGAUGAUAAAGAAUCUCAAAUAAUAAGGAAAGAGAAUGAUGAAGACACCCUAUUCAUUUCUUAACGAUUAACAUUGAAAAAGAUGUGUGACAAUAAAAGAAUUUCUUAUACACAUGAAAAAACCAAAUUAAGAAUAAUGAUACUGGUGCUAGAGCAUUAAUUUAGGUGUCAUGUAAGUGAUAGAACGUUUUAAAUGUGAUUUAUUUCUCUACUUUUAAGAUGAUCUAUAAAUUAACGAUACUUGAACGUCAUAUAGAUUGUUGCACAGUAGUAGUGGUAGUAAAUAGUAUUCCUCGAAAACAAAACCAAGGCGAAUCAAUCCAGCAUAACUAUUUUUUCUAAUCCGAAAGGUAAGAUUUGCAUCAUUUUCGUGUUAUAUGGGCUUGUCCAGCCCAAGAGAAAAAGCCCAAUCUUCCUUAUUUUCUUUUAGUCAAACCAUUAGGAAAGUCAAAAACGACGGCUAUAAUUGAAGGAAAAAAGGUUGAAGCUGUUAGAGAAGAAAUAAAAGAAGGAGAAAAGGAAAUUUUAUUUAUUUUUUAUUUUUUUUCAAUUUGGGUGUGGAUUCUCAACGCAAUAUAAAUUGGGAUUUUCUCUAAGGCGUAUUUUGAAUACUCUAGAGGUGUAGUAUUUAAAGUGAGUUCUCACAAGGUUAAUUAAAUUGGUGAUUUAUGGUGGGAUAAAUUGUUGUCUUAGAGAUUAAUUAUUGUGUUAUUUCCAAUUUGUUGAGAAUUCAAGUUUUGGACAAAAACUUAAAUAUAGCAAUCUAUAUUUUUAUUAUAGUGGAUUUUGGCCAGAGUUGCUCUGGGGGUGAAUUAUUCUUGCAAUAAGUGAAAUUGCCCAACAUUUCGAUCUAUAACACACGCGUAUAAAUUCAUUACCAAAACAUGUUUCUUUCAAAAUUAUUCAACUAUUAUUUGUAUGAGUUCAUUAUAGGGUUAAAUAUAUGUGUUCGGUCACUAAACCUAUAUCAAAAUUAAUACAAGUACGUUCAUGCUUUUUCUGAUGAUUUUCAACUUUUUUUUUUUGAGAUAACUAUGGAAACAUAUAUAUUUGUGAAGUAUAUAAAAUUGAGACUACUUACAAUUUUCAGUUGACUUAACCCUUCAUAAUCAGGUUUGCGGUCACCGAAGACUUGAAAAACCUCUUGUCUUGCACGUUCUUGCCAAUUUUGAUGGAUACUAAGUAAAAUCAUGGUCCAAACGAGCAUAGCUGUGGUGGUCUCAUGUCCUGCGAAGUAAAAUAACUGAACAUUUCCAAUCAAAUCAUCCAUAUUCUUGAUUCCAUGAGCUUCUGCGAGUUCAGAUUCCAACAACACAUGAAAUUAGUUAUCCUCCAUGGUUUUUCCUGCCUUAAUUGCCUUUGCCCUUUCAUUUAUCAGAAUCGAAAAUGAUUUUCUUAAUUCAUUUUUUAUCUGUUUUGACCUUCGAUUUGUCAUAGUGGGAAGAUACCUACACCAAAUUGAGAAAAUUGUCAAUAUACUAAAAUGAAGACACAAAAGACCUACAAUGAUGAAUAUUAAGACGAGUACAAGACGUCGAAUUUAAAUGAAGAGCAUCAGUAAAUAAUAUAAACCGACAUUUCUUAAGUUAAACCUCCAUUUUCAUCGUUUUGAAAAUAAUGGACAAUCGUGGUGAGAGUACAAACAUCAUUGUAAAUAUACAACGACAAUGUAAGUGCAAUAACGUACUUUGCUCCCGGUAAAUCAACUAUUCGGGUUGUCUGUCUCGCAAUAGCAGUCAAUUCUUUAAGAAUUUCAUAGAUCCUUUUAUCCUGAGCAUAGUCAGUGGCAAAUAAAGUUCGGGACACUACUUUAGUGGUCAAGAUUUCUAUAUGAGACAUCACGUCCACCACACAGGAGCCAUCCUUGGAGCUCGACACCAUGAUCUUCCACUUAUUCACAAUUUCAUCGCAGCUUAAUUGAAAUGCAGGUAUCAUUUGCUACAUAAUUAAAAACAAAAUAUUGAAAAAAAAAUGUCAAUAAUGUGUUAAGAUUAAUUAUACAGAAGAGGGGGAAAAAGAUAUUAAUUGGUACAAAAAUUUUACCUUAAUUUUUUCCAGUUGGAAAAUUGGAUUUUGAGUCUUUCUGUUUUUGCUCCAUUCUUCUCCCUCUUGAUUAAGGAUUCCACUAAUAAGUGUUUGUACUAUAUUAUUGGUUACCUUAAAAUUCUUUUUGAAAAUAUUGUAUUUACUCAUCACUGUUUUCAUCAACUCAGGAUCCAUAAUGAGCACCCGAGGUCUCGGUCCAACCCACAUGAACGACAUUUUACCUACAAAAAACAUAAAAAAAAAAAAGAAAGAACCUUUUUAGAAAGAAAUUAUGAUAAUGCAAAUACAAUUAGUGUAUGCAUGGAUCAAUUAUUACUUAAAUGCAGGCACCUAAGAUAGGUGCUUGUGGUUUGCUGUUUUAGUUUUGCAAAAUACAGAAAAUAUGUUUGGUCUGGUAAUUCAGUUCUCAGUGCAAAACACUAAAAUACAAACCAAACGGGCACUUAGUUUCCACUCACAAGUAUUUGGAAGUUCAUUAGAAUUAAUUUCUAAAAAAGUACAAGUUUCCUUGAAGAUACCGUAUUUUUCAAUGGUUUUAUGAACGAAGGGCAUGACACGGGGAACAGCUUCGUCGUGAACAUUGAUAGUCUUUCGCAAUGCUUCAGCAUAUUCGACUGAGUUCUCUUUUACGUCUCCAAACAGAAGCCUGGUCAGGGUAUAUGGGUUCCCUUUGAAGCCUUGCUGCUUAAGCAUCCUCUCCUUCUUCUUAGGUUUAAGCCAAAUCCGAUCCAUAAUUCUCCAUCCCAAUAUCAGAAAUGCUGUAAUGAACAACAUUGAACUCCAUACAUUUUUCUCACUUCCGCCAACUAUUUCUGUCUUCAUGUCUGAUGUGAGUGUGUGUGUGUGUGUGUUUCUUAGAAAGAAGAGUGCGAUUGAGAAGAAGCAAUCCAAGGUAUUUAUAGAAGAAUUUGGACGUGAACUAUCAUUGUAAAACAAGUAAAAUAAUUCAAGCAUGACACACGAGACCAAACAGUACUAUUAAUAUGUAAAAUGCCUAUCCCAUGAUAUAAGCCCGGAUUGAUAUUGCUAAAAAAUCUAAGUAAAAGACAGCUAUUAAUUUCACCUCCACAUUUUAUAGAAUCCAUUACUAUUUAAGUACACAUUCCGUCAAUUUUUAUUAAAGUUUGCUAAAAAUAUGAUAUUAAUAUCUACAAAACAAAGGCAUAACAUGAGGUUUGAUCUUUAUAUCUUAGGAUGUGAAAGAUACUUAUUUCCCAAGAUAAAAAUAUAAAUCAAUUUAUAAAGAUUUGUUGAUAUUUCUCUUAAUAAUGUUGACAUUUUAAGAUGAUUCACCAAAUUUUAAUAAGGUAUCAAAGCCCAUUGAUAAGUGUAUUUUAUACAUUUAUUAGGGGCCCUAAAAUAACAAUAUUUAAUAGUUCUUUUGACAAAUUAUAUCCUAAAUUGUUGUAUUUUAUAUUUUAUAAGUAAACUCUAUAAUGAAAAUGAAUUGAAUGAAAGAAACAAUAAUUGGCGAAAAAAUAGCAAAAUCUAAAGUACAGGGAUUAAAUUGACCAUUGGAUGAAAAUUGAGGACUUGAAAACAAAUACCACCACAAUAUGCCUCAACUUUAAGUUGUAAUGGACUUCUGCUCGUUUAAUUAAAAGUGGUUUGGACUCUUGGAGGAGAAAAAAAAAAAAAAAAAACGGGGAGGACGGNNNNNNNNNNNNNNNNNNNNNNNNNNNNNNNNNNNNNNNNNNNNNNNNNNNNNNNNNNNNNNNNNNNNNNNNNNNNNNNNGUUCAAAUAUUGGGCUGACUUGAAAAAACUGACCUACAGACACACGCCUAGGCGGGGAAAAACGGCUGCCUUUGGAGCUGAUUUCUAGGAAAGAAAACGCCGGCAGUUGGCUGGAAAAAAAAAAAAAAUACAAGCUGGCAGCUUUUGGGAAAGAAAUCAAAGGCUGCUGCGGGAGAAAAAAGGCAGAUAAUUGUAGCUGAAUUUACAGAAAAAAAAAAAAGGAGUUUCCUAGGAAAAAAAAUCGAGAAACAAUGCUGAAUUUGUGGGGGAAAAAGGAGGCCACUUGUGGCUGCAAAUUAUACACACAUACAAAAACCAAAGCUGGAAGAUGAACAUGUAUGCAAACACAUAAAACAACAACUUGGGAUUCCUUUGAAAAGUCAAGAAAUGAGGCUGAAUUAUAAUUGAUAUACGCACAAAGAAGGCAGACACAAGACGGCACAUGCAUGGGAAAAUUUACGUUUCGUCAAUUUUUGGUGAUAUUUUCUAUCUUUUAUUUAUUUAAUUCCAACAAUAUGCUUGGUUAAUUUUUUAUAUUACUAAGAUGUGAUGAACCCUUGUUAUGAAUUUUUAUUUUGAAUAAUUAAAUUGACGUUAAAUUUGUUUGAAUUAUUGGAUGUUUAUUAUGAUUUAAUUUGCUUUUCAAUUUAUUUGACCAACAAUUGAAUUAUUUGUGGGUUUUAUUGUCAUCGAGAGAGAUAAUAGAAUUGUUAGCACGUAGUAAUAAACAUUGUGAGGUUCUAUAGAGGAUAGAGUAUACCUCUAUACUUCACAUGAUUUUUAUAGAUAUUCUAGCUCGUUUAAUGCAUUUAUCAUGUUCGCAUCUUUCGUCGAGAGAUAGGAAGGUUACAUGAGGGGAAUAGAUUUGAUAACUAUCGAGAGAGAUUUUCAACUAAAAUAGGAAUAUUGACCAACAAGCAUGGUUUCAAAUUGGAUUCAAUGAUGCUAUAAAUAUUCCUAAAGAAAUUGCCAUUGAAAUGAAAAUUAAUCAUUUAUUUCAAGUGAAACGUGUAAUUUGAAGGAAGAAACAUUUUGAUGAAAAUGCUACUGUAAACGAUGCACAAUCACUUGAAGAUUCUUUCAUAACCAAUUAUUUCUUUUAUAUAGUAGAUCAAGUAAUUGGAUUCCUUGAACGAUGGUUUGAUCAAUUCAAUUUAUAUGAAAACAAAAUUGGAUUUCUAUUUUCUUCUGACAAGUUAAACUCAUUGGAUGAUGCUAAUUUGAAAGCAUGUGUUUUGAUCAUCUUGACAUUAGUUUAAGACAUGUAAUUUUUUGUGAUCUUGAUGGCGAAAAUUUAUUUCAAAAUUUAAAAGUUUUGUAAAAUCUUUUACCAAAAGAAAUAAAGACGGCUUUUGAUAUAUUGACUUAUUUGAAAAGAUUGGAUUGCUUUCCAAAUAUAUGUAUUGCUUAUAGAAUAUUAUUGACAAAUUUUAUUACUGCUGUAUCUGCUGAAAGAAUUUUUUUUUUCAAAAUUAAAAUUAUUAAAACCAUGUUACAAGAACAAUUGAAUGUAUUAACUUUGAUAUCUACUGAGCAAGACUUUCUAGAAAAUAUUGAUUACGAAAGUUUAAUUAAUGAGUUUGCUUCUAGAAAUGUAAGAAAUAUUUUUAUAUGAUUUGCUGUAUUUCAAGCUUUAUACUUGAUUUAUAUUUUUUCAAGGUUCGCCUAUAUGAAAUUACACGAAGAGGCUAGUGUCUUAAAUGGUUCUUUGUUGAUGUAUGUAAUAAAAAAAAUUAAAUUCAUAUUUUUGCAAGAAAUAAUAUUAUUGAAAUAUAUAUAUUUUUUAAUACAUGUUUUAGUUACAUUAAGGGAGUACUAUUUUAAAAUCUCGAACAAGAUACCCAAAAUCUCAGGCCAGGCUCUGUCGAGAGCAACGAUUAAUUUUUGUUUCAAAUCAAUGACAAGUCUUUUUGUAACUCAGUUGAGAAGAUGUUUUUCCGACUUGUUUUCAUCUUUUUCACGUGUCAUUCCUAAUCCCCUCCUUAAGAGAUUAAAUAAUUAUAAGAUGACAAAAUGUACAAAUCAAUUGAGUGUUAGGUUUUGAAAGCAUUGAGUGGAGUUUGCUAGGAAAAAAAAUCGAGAAACAAUGCUGAAUUUGUGGGGGGAAAAGGAGGCCACUUGUGGCUGCAAAUUAUACGCACAUACAAAAACCAAAGCUGGAAGAUGAACAUGUAUACAAACACAUAAAACAACAACUUGGGAUUCCUUUGAAAAGUCAAGAAAUGAGGCUGAAUUAUAAUUGAUAUACGCACAAAGAAGGCAGACACAAGACGGCACAUGCAUGGAAAAAUUAAUUACAUUUCGUCGAUUUUUUAUGAUGUCUUCUAUCUUUUAUCUAUUUAAUUCCAACAAUAUGCUUGGUUAAUUUUUUAUAAUACUAAGAUGUGAUGAACCCUUGUUAUGAAUUUUUAUUUUGAAUCAAAUUUGUUUGAAUUAUUGAAUGUUUAUUAUGGUUUAAUUUGCUUUUCAAUUUAUUUGGCCAACAAUUGAAUUAUUUGUGGGUUUUAUUGUCAUUGAGAGAGAUAAUAGAAUCGUUAGCACGUAGUAAUAAACAUUGUGAAGUUCUAUAGAGGAUAAAGAUAUACAUCUAUACUUCACAUGAUUUUUAUAGAUAUUCUAGCUCGUUUAAUGCAUUUAUCAUGUUCGCAUUUUUCGUCGAGAGAUAGGAAGGUUAUAUGAGGGGAAUAUAUUUGAUAACUAUCGAGAGAGGUUUUCAACUAAAAUAGGAACAUUGACCAACAAGCAUGAUUUCAAAUUGGAUUCAAUGAUGCUAUAAAUAUUCCUAAAGAAAUUGCCAUUGAAAUGAAAAUUAAUCAUUUAUUUCAAGUGAAACGUGUAAUUUGAAGGAAAAAACAUUUUGACGAAAAUGCUAUUGUAAACGAUGCACAAUCACCUGAAGAUUCUUUCAGAACCAAUUACUUCUUUUAUAUAGUAAAUCAAGCAAUUGGAUUCCUUGAACGAUGGUUUGAUCAAUUCAAUUUAUAUGAAAACAAAAUUGGAUUUCUAUUUUCUUUUGACAAGUUAAACUCAUUGGAUGAUGCAAAUUUGAAAGCAUGUUGGUGAUCAUCUUGACAUUAUUUUAAGACAUGUAAUUUUUUGCGAUUUUGAUGGCAAAAAUUUAUUUCAAGAUUUAAAAGUUUUGUAAAAUCUUUUACCAAAAGAAAUAAAGACGGCUUUUGAUAUAUUGACUUAUUUGAAAAGAUUGGAUUGCUUUCCAAAUACAUGUAUUGCUUAUAGAAUAUUAUUGACAAUUUUUAUUACUGUUGUAUCUGCUGAAAGAAUUUUUUUUUUCAAAAUUGAAGUUAUUAAAAUCUUAUUUGCGAUCAAUCAUGUUACAAGAACAAUUGAAUGUAUUAUGUUUGAUAUCUACUGAGCAAGACUCUCUAGAAAAUAUUGAUUACGAAAGUUUAAUUAGUGAGCUUGCUUCUAAAAGUGUGAGAAGAAAUAUUUUUAUAUGAUUUGUUGCAUUUCAAGCUUUAUACUUGAUAUAUAUUUUUUCAAGGUUUGCUAUAUGAAAUUACACGAAGAGGCUAGUGUCUUAAAUGGUUCUUUGUUGAUGUAUGUAAUAAAAAAAAUUAAAUUCAUAUUUUUGCAAGAAAUAAUAUUAUUGAAAUAUAUAUAUUUUUUAAUAUAUGUUUUAGUUACAUGAAGGGGGUACCAUUUUAAAAUCUCGAACAAGGUACCCAAAAUCUUAGGCUAGGCUCUGUCGAGAGCAUCGAUUAAUUUUUGUUUCAAAUCAAUGACAAGUCUUUUUGUAACUCAGUAGAGAAGAUGCUUUUCCAACUUGUUUUCAUCUUUUUCACGUGUCAUUUCUAAUCCCCUCCUUAAGAGAUUAAAUAAUUAUAAGAUGACAAAAUGUACAAAUCAAUUGAGUGUUAGGUUUUGAAAGCAUUGAGGUGAUUUCAAUUUCUCUACAGAAAUAUAAUAAGCAUUUAAUUAAGAUUGAGCUUUUCCACGGAAUUUAGCAUAUGUUUGGUAUGUUUGGCCCCAUUUUUUCAAAAACCUUUUUUUAUUCAAAAUUAAUUUUCAAUCACACAUUCUCCCAUAAAAUAAUUUUACAAGCAAAAUCAAAAAAAUUUCUUAUUUUUUAAUUACACAUUCUCCAACAAAAUAUUAUUUUAAAAUACAUUUUGACCACAAAUGAAGCUCAAACAGGGGCAUAAUAUGACCACCGCUUGCAGUCAUUUGAUUUAAGAUUAUAUUAUUAUUCGUAAUUAUUGUCGUAGGUUUAAUAAUGACAGUUUUACAUCUAAGUUAUCGAGCAAUCUUUAAUUGAGAGUUAACCCAACACAAAAUCUACACAUUUUGUGUAUAGUGGCACGUGUUGAAGUUAUUAAGAAAUCAUUCCAUAUUUAGAGUUUGUUUGGUAGGGAUUUUGAUAAUUAAUUUUUUGACCGUUGGAAAUAAAGUGGGUCCUAUCUAUGAGACAAUAAUUCAAAAAUGACGACUGUAAUGAUGAAAUAACGGUCAAAAAAUUGAUUUUAAUUGAUUUUUAAUAUAUAAUAAACAUUCACUUAAUUAAGUAGACAAAACACAUGGCAAGACGCUUAGUAUGUCUUGUCACACUUGGAAAAAUUAUUUUCAAACUUGCAGUUUGAUUUAUUUGUUAAUGCAAUAAUUGGAUGUCCUUAUUUUUUUUAAUAAUUUAGAUCAUUUUUAACCAUAAUUCUUAACACGUAUAUCUACCUAUUGUAACGAUAUUUCACAAAGAAAAAGUUAUUGUCGUCUUAGCAAUGGUGCACAUCGUACUUCAACAAUGUUUUUUUUUUUAGUUAUAUUCAAGAAAAUAUUUGUUACACAAUAUUAAAUUCGAAUAAAUAUAAUUUUUAACUUUAUCAAACAUGUCACGGAGGAAGUCAAUUGACAUAUGAAGUUAUUGUGACUUGAUAAAUGGACACUUAUUUUUUGAUAAUUAACAGGUUCGGAGAAGGACAAUUUUGUCAUUUGCACCCACAUCAAAAUUGUUAAAUGAUAUUUUUGAAAAAUGUCCAUUUAAUUAAGAGUUAUGCUGGAGAAACAAGGCCAUGUAGGCCGUAUUUGAGAAGAAUUCUUGUUUAAUUAACAAUGUAUCAAGUGAUUCAGUGAUUCAUGUCCAAAAAUUUUUAAUUAACAAUGUAUCAAAUGACUCGUGUCCAAAAUUUUUUACAGUUAAGUUUGUGAGCAAUCUGUUAAUUAUCAAAAAUCAUAUUUUGAAUAGUGAACUUCUGCAGAAUGUGUAGUUAAAAAAUAGGAAAAAUUUUGAAUUUACAUACGGAAUAUUUUAUUAUAUGAAUGUAUGAUUUGAAAAUAAAUAUGUAUAAAAAAUAGUUAAUUUAAAAAGGCUAUCAGGGGCUGAAUUUAUAAGUAGACAAAACACAAGAAUCUAAGCCCUUGUUUGAUUUUCAUUACAUUACAUUACAUUACAUUCUAUUUUUCUCUCUCCUAUUUUCAACCACACAAUCUUCCAUAAAAUAAUAUUACACGUAAAUCGAAAAUUUUUCUUUCUUUUUCAACCACUCAUUUUUCAAAAAACACUAUUCUAUACAUUAAAUUUUCCCCGUAAUGGGGGCCAAACAGGGCCUAAAUGUCUUGUCACACUUGGAAACAUACCAUUAAUUUCAAACUUACAGUUGGAUUUGUUUGUUAAUGCAAUAAUUGGAUGUGCACAACGGAAGAAGAAGAAAUUGCCAGCACAUUAUUUCUUAUAUAAUGGAACAUUUCUCUUAUUGAUACCCCGUAUAUUUUCUUCGAUUUUUGGAGUUUUUCAUGUAAUUUCUUGGGUAAAUUUUCUCUAUAUAUUUCACAUUUUUAUGUCUUAUUAGUAUUAUUUAUGAACGGUGAUAUUGUGAGCGAGCAAAAGAAUUAGUCUCGAUUCUCAAUAUUAUAGUCCACCGUUAGAUCAAAUUAAAAACAAUGUAGUUUGUGUUGUUAAAAACUAAAAGAUGCUAUGGAUAAAUUUCUAUUUCUUUUUUAACAUGGUGAGGAACAUGAAACACAUGAUUUUACACCUUGAGCUCAAUGUGUGUCUAUAUAAGACAUCGCUAACUAAAUUUUGCAUGUUAGAUGAAGCUGUUAAAUAGUAGACAACAAGAGAAAUAAUGUUAUAAUCAAUGGCGGACACAGACAUUUUGAGUUAGUGGGGCACAAUUGAACUUGCAAAAAAUACAGAUUUAUGUUUAUACAAAUACCACUAUAUUUGUCAUCAUUUUUAUCUCCAACAUCAUUUUCUUCACUUUUCUUUCGAAUAUUCUUUUCAUUAACAUUGUGAUCAUGAAAAAAACACAUAUUUACGUUUCAAUUAUUUUUCAAUCACAAUUAAUUCAAGUGAAAAAUACAAAAAUUACAACAAUUCUGAAUAUUAAAUUAUCAAAUGCAUUUUUGUUCAAACGAAGACAAAAAUCACAACAAGAAUCCAUUACCAUAAAAUCGCCAAAACAAAAUAGAAAUUGGAGCACCUAAAUUGAUCACUAAUAUCAUUUCAUAAGAAAAUACAAAAGAAAUCAUAAAAAAGAAAUAAUGUCCCGAAAAAUGAGGCAUAUAACUUUUGAUGAAUGAAUCUUUCACAUUCUUUAAAAAAUUAAAACUUUAUUCAAUGUUUUCAUAUUUUCUGGGCCUGAGUUCUUCUACUUCAAAUAUGAUUUCCCUUAAAAAAAAUAAUAAUAAAUAAAUAAAUAAACCUCAAUUUUAAGUUGGUGGGUCAAGUGACCCACCAGGACCCACUGUGGGUCUGCCAGUGGUUAUGAUGCAGAAGGAUCCAAAUUGAGUGAUGCUGAUUUGUUAGAUAACAUGAUGAUGGCGCUAAAAUACCAUGAGAUGGCGGAUCGGUGCAAAAAUGGGAAGUGAAUCGCAAUUAUUUCCUUAAUUGGGGGAAUUUGACACGUAUUUGGUAAUUUGGCCAUAACUUUGGCUACAGUUAUCAGAAUCACUAUUAUGACCCCAAUCUGAAAAGUUCUCUUCGGUGCGCACGUCGUGACCACCAGCUAUGCUCCGUGGGCGUCAAUUUCGAGCCCAAAAUCCACUGUUUUCCUUUCCAAAAUUCAAUUUUUAGUUAUUUUUUGCUAUUUAUGGUAAUAUCUCGAAUUGAGCCAAAUUUUUGGCAACCUACUUCUUUUACUUAAUAUUUUAUUCUGGUGUAAUUUCGAGAUUUUACUAUUUUUGGUAAUUUUCCUAUAAUUUCGUAUUUUGUAGCUAUUUAACUCGACUUGUGGGUUAAUUUUGGUCAUUCUGCAUUAUUAAUAAUAUUGAGUUGAUUUCAGAGUAUUUUCUCUGGUUUUUGGACGUUUUUCUUUUCUUUCUUUCUUGCGAAUUAUCUGCUACAAUAAGCCAAUAGGAUAAUCACUAUCUUACCCAGCGUCAGUUGGUAUCAGAGCGUCAGCAUCUUCUUGGGAGAUAAAUUCCAUCAGUUAUAAUGGUUGGUGGACGUGGUCGUGGUCGUCGAGGGCAGGUUCCGAUUGAGGAAGUCCCACACUGUGAUCAUAAUAUUCAGGAUGUGGCGAUUGAAGAUUUGUAGAAACAAGUUGCGGAGUUAACCCAACGUUUGGCGGAGCAGAAAUUCGAUAAUCAUGAUGUGGAGAGUCACGAUUCCGAUACCAGUUUCGAAAACUCGUGUCACCAUCGUGCUCGAGUUUGAGAGUAUCGUGCACGGGAGGAUCGUCAUGUGGAUCUCGAUUUCAGAGUGGAUCUACCCGAGUUUUCUGGUACGUUGCAGGCUGAAGGAUUUAUUGAUUGGCUAAAUGAAGUAGAGCAGAUUUUUGAAUAUAAGGAUGUUCCAGAUCGUGUCAAAGUGAAACUGGUCGCCAUCAAACUCAAAGGUAGAGAAUCUACAUGGUGGGAACAAUUGAAGCGUUCAUAGGAGCGACAGGGAAAAUCCAAAAUUACUGACUGGGAGAAGAAAAAGAAGAAGAUGAAAGGGCACUUCCUCCCUUUCGGCUAUACCCAAACCUUGUUUCAGAGGCUCCAUUCACUGAGGCAAAGCACAAGAUCAGUCAAUGAUUAUACUGAGGAAUUCUAUCAGCUCGGAAUGAUUUAUCUGAGACGGAGGAGCAAAUGGUAGCAAGAUAUUUGAGGGGAUUAAGGCAGCCCCUGCAGGAUGUUCUCAGCCUUCAUUCAUUGUGGACGGUUAUUGAGGCAUAUCAGUGGGCACUUGCAGUGGAAAAACAGCAAAGUAGGAGGCCAGUGGUCAGAGGUGAAGGUAGUCAGUCAGUUCGCCCUCAAGAAUCUUGUCCUACUUAUCGGCCACAGCGGGACAAUUCCAACUCAAGUAUUAAGUGUUCAGGUGUGGUGAAUAGAGGCAUAGGGCGACUGAUUGCAGGAAGCCUGCUGGUCAGAAGAAUAAAAAUCUUCUGAUUGGGGAGGAUAGGAUAGAGGAGUUUGAGGAAGUUGGGGAGCCUGUGUAUGAUGAUGGUGAAGAUGAGGACGAGCUAUAUGGAGAUGGCCAGGAGACCCUGGUAGUUCGAAAGAGCCAGCUGACUCCCAAGAGUGAUUUAGGGGACGAUUAGUUGAGGACCAACAUUUUCUACACAACCUGCACAGUUGCUGAUAGAGUUUGCAAGCUGAUAAUUGAUAGUGGCAAUUGUGAGAAUGUAGCGUCUGAGGAGGCUAUCGAGAAACUGCAACUGAAGAUGGAUCGUCAUCCCAAACCAUACAAAUUGUCUUGGCUGAAUAACGGCAGUGAGGUAACGGUAGAAAAACGGUGCUUAGUGUCUUUUUCGAUUGGAAAAAAAUAUUUUGAUAAUGCCUGGUGUGAUGUGGUAUCAAUGGACGCGUGUCAUGUUUGUUGGGAUGACCUUUGCAGUAUGAUCGCAGCGUUAUCCAUGAUGGGCGGAAGAAUACUUAUUCUCUUAGCAUCAAAAGGAAGAAAAUUGUUUUGGCGCCUCGCAGGGAAGAAAACAUCCCUGUCCCGAUAGUUAAUAACACCAAUCUACUUUCUAUGUCCAGGUUCUUGGUUGAGGUUGGGCGUGAAAAAAUAGUUUAUGCUUUAAUGCCUUGUGAAAAUAGUGCAGCGAAUGUGGACUCGAAAUUACCAGCAGAAGUGCAGCAACUACUGAUGGAGUUUUCUGACUUGAUAUCGGAGGAUCUUCCUCCAGGAUUACCACAUAUGAGGGACAUUCAGCAUCAGAUUGACCUUAUUCCGGGGUCGAGUCUACCAAACUGACCAACAUAUCGCCUCAGUCCCAAGGAAGCUGAAGAGUUGCAGCGACAGGUGGUAGAAUUAUUGGAAAGGGGCUACAUUGGUGAGAGUAUGAGUCCUUGUGCAGUUCCUGCUCUACUAGUGCCGAAGAACUAUAGGUUGUGGCGUAUGUGUGUUGACAACAGGGCAAUUAACAGGAUUACAGUGAAGUAUAGGUUUCCAAUUCCCCGCUUGGACGACAUGUUGGAUCAAUUGUCCGAUUCUAAGGCCUUCUCAAAAAUUGACCUUAAAAGCGGAUACCACCAGAUCAGAAUCAGGCCUGGAGAUGAGUGAAAGACUGCGUUCAAGACACAACAUGGAUUGUACGAGUAGAUGGUCAUGCCCUUUGGACUAUCCAAUGCACCCAACACUUUUAUGAGGUUUAUGCAUCAGGUUUUACGGCCUUUUAUGGGAAAGUUUGUGGUAGUCUAUUUUGACGACAUACUUAUUUAUAGUCCGACAUGGGAGUCACAUUUUAAUCAUCUUCGUGCUGUCUUUGAUGUAAUGAGGACGGAGAGCUUAUUCAUCAAUCAGAAUAAGUGUUCUUUCUUCACAACUUCUGUAACUUUUUUGGGUUUUGUUGUGUCUACUGAUGGUGUUCAUGCAGAUCAAUCCAAAAUUGAGGAAGUUUUGAAUUGGCCCAAGCCAAAAACUUUGCACGAUGUCAGAAGUUUCCAUGGAUUGGCAUCCUUCUAUCAUCGGUUCAUCAGAAACUUCAGGACCUUGAUUGCUCCUAUCAUAGAGUGCCUUAAAGGGUGUGAUUUUCAGUAGAUCGAGGAGGCAAAGGCUAGCUUUCAAUUGGUUAAGCAGAAGAUGAUGGAGGCCCCAGUCUUGGCACUUCCGGACUUUGAGAAGGUGUUCGAGGUAAACUGUGAUGCAUCUGGAAUUGGUAUUGGUGGUGUUCUGAGUCAGGAGGGACGUCCAAUAGCCUUUUUUAGUGAGAAGCUAUCGGGAUCGAAGAAAAAUUAUUCCACUUAUGACCUAGAGUUCUAUGCCAUAGUUUAGACUUUGAAGCAUUGGCGUCAUUACCUGGUACAUAGGGAGUUCAUCGUUGUUUCUGAUCAUGAGGCCUUGAAGUACAUCAAUGGUCAGCACAAGCUGAGUAGGAAACAUGCAAAGUAGAUGGCGUACUUGCAAGAGUUUAUUUUCACACUAAGGCAUCAAGCAGGGAGUUUGAAUCGAGUAGGAGAUGCAUUGAGCCAUCGCACAUUACUACUCACCACCAUGAGCACUAAGAUUAUCGGGUUUGAGGCAUUUCCUGAUAUGUAUGCUGUAGAUCCUUCAUUUGGGAAGAUAAUUCGGGAGGUAACUAAUAAUCACCGACAUGAUUUUGUUUCCUUAGUUUGAUGUCAACAUGGAUUUUGUCUUGGGCUUACCUCAUACACAGUAGGCGAUGGAUUCCAUUCUUGUUGUGGUUGACAGAUUUUCAAAGAUGGCUCAUUUUGUGACUUGCCAGAAGACAAUAGAUGCUACUCGGAUUGCUCAUCUUUAUUUCAGAGAGAUUGUGCGUUUACAUGGUGUUCCAUAGUCAAUUACUUUUGACCAUGACACUAAGUUUAUGAGUCAUUUCUGGAGGAGUUUAUGGGAGAAACUUGGAACGAAAUUGAAUUUUAGCAGUGCAUACUAUCCCCAUACAGAUGGACAGACCGAUGUGGUGAAUCGGAGUUUGGGAAAUCUUUUGAGAAGCUUGGUAGGGACUAAACCGAAGCAGUGGGAUUGGGCAUUACCUCAAGCAGAGUUUGCUUAUAACCGGUCUAGGAAUAGAACCACCGGAUUGAGUCCUUUUGAAAUUGUCUAUGGUCGGAACCCAUCCGGGGUACUUGAUUUGGCUCCAAUUCCACAUUUGGUCGCUUCAAUAACAAAGCUGAUGAGAUGGCUGAGCAUCUUCGGGGUAUCCAUGAGCAGGUGAAGCUGUCCAUACAGGAUGGUAAUACUAAGUACAAGGCUCAGGCAGAUAGUCAUCAGCGCUAGGUGUUGUUUGAUGUUGGUGAUUUUGUUUGGGCAGUAUUAACUCGUGAUCGUUUUCCAGCUGGGGAGUACAAUAAGCUAAAGGAGCAGAAGAUUGGACCUUGUGAAGUGCUGCAGAAGAUCAAUGAUAAUGCUUACAGGUUGCGCCUCCCUAGCCAUUUGAAGACCUCUGACUUCUUCAAUGUGAAACACCUAAACCCUUAUUUUGUGGAGUCCGAUGAAACUACUGUGAACUUGAGGGCGAGUUCUUUCCAACCCGGGAAGACUGAUGCAGGAGGAUCCGAGUCGAGUGAUGCUAAUUUGUCAAAUAACACGAUGAUGGCGCUGAAAUACCAUGAGAUGGCAGAUCGACGCAAAGAUGGGAAGUGAAUCGCAAUUAUUUCCUUAAUUGGGGGAAUUUGACACGUUUUUGGUAAUUUGACCAUAACUUUGACUACGGUUAUCAGAAUCGUUAUUAUGACCCCAAUCCGGAAAAGCUCUCUUCGGCGCGCAGGUCGUGGCCACUAGCUAUGCUCAGUAGGCGUCAAUUUUGAGCCCAAAAUCCGCUGUUUUCCUUUCCAAAAUUUAAUUUUUAGUUAUUUUUUGCUAUUUAUGGUAAUAUUUCGAAUUGAGCCAAAUUUUUGGCAACCUACUUCUUUUACUUAAUAUUUUAUUCUGGUGUAAUUUCGGGAUUUUGCCAUUUUUGAUAAUUUUUUUAAAAGUUCGUAUUUUGCAGCUAUUUAACUCGGCUUGUGGGUUAAUUUUGGUUAUUCUGUAUUAUUAAUAAUAUUGAGUUAAUUUCAAAGUAUUUUCUCUGGUUUUUGGGCGUUUUUCUUUCAUUUCUUUCUUGUGAAUCAUCUGCUACAACAAGCCAAUAGGAUAAUCACUAUCCUACCCGGCGUCAGGUUAUAAUCUUAAUCUUUAGUAUAUUAAAAAUCAAAUUAAAUAAAUAUAAUUUUGUGGACAAUUUUAUCCAAGUAACAUUUAAACUAUUUGAAUAAUAUGCUUUUUAUUUUUGAGUAUAAUAAUGAAUAACAAAAAACAUUAAUUGAAUCAAUUUACGAAAUUAUUCAAUUCAAUAUAUCAAAUCCUUGAUAUGUAUUGUUUUCCAUUAUUGCUUAUUUGGUUAAAUAGUUUCUCAAAUUCUAGAAGAAAUGCAUGUCUUGUUUGCUAGAAAAAUAUUAGAUCUUAUGACCCUUAUUCUAUAUAAUGCAUCCACUCUAUUCUUAUUAUAAAAAUUUAGUCCUUCAAUUUUAUUGCGCAGAUUGUUCGCUAAAAUUAUAUACCGCAAGUGCACGGGUGCGUUCAAGUAAUAAAGUGAACUUAUGAGUCCGAGUAUCAAUCCCUCGAAGAGUGUUUUUUUUUAAUUUAUACAAUUGUUGACUCAAUUUUAACAAUUGAAACACACAAUUAGAUUUUAUAUGUGGAAAGGAAAGGAAAAUGAAUUUGAAAAUCAAUUGAAAUAACAAUUAUGAAAGAUAAGGAAAUUUGACUUAUGAAUGAGUUGGGAUUUACAAUGUCACUUAAUCGUCGUUUCUUUAAUAUCGCAACAAACCGAAAAUACAAAUUACCUCACACAACAAUCUCUUAAUAGCUGCACAAACCACUCAAUUCAAUCAUAUAUUGGCCACAUACAUGAAGAAAAUUUAAGCACAAUAAUAAAUGCACAAUAACAUAGUAAUUAAAACAUUAAACGAUGAAUAUUGACAUUAAAAAAACUUAGGUCAAGCUACAUCAUAAAUCUUAACAUUAAAUACUUGGACCAUUGCAAAAUAGAAGCACAAAAAUGAAAUAAAGAGAGAACCCAUUACAAAAUGAAAGAGAUAAUAGAAAAAUACAAGAUAGUGAAAGAAAACCGUCCCUUGAAUAUAUUCUUGAAGAAAUGAGGGAUUGAAAUCUUUAAUAUUCCUUGUAGACUCCCAAAUUUUGCUAGAAAUUCUCCCUUCUUCUUGCCUCUUCUCUCAUUGAAGGAUUUUCUAAGUGUUCUCCUAUAAGUCUUGCCCUAGAAGUGACCAACAAAUGAGUAUUUAAAUGGCCAAAAAUCGUCUUAAGUGAAAUUGUGGAAGAGGUCUCGAAAUUUACGCAAAAUAGGCAAAAUUUGCCCAACCGGAAAGCUGUGCGCGUGCACGGUUAGAUGCUUUUGGCCUCGGGAUAAUAAGCCUGCACGCGAGCGUUGGCUUUCUUCAUUUCCUUUUUUCCAACUUAGUCCUCCAUUCAAUUGCACACAAGGCCCUCAACUUUGAUCAUGAACAACUUGUCCCCAAAAUUUGAUUUUCAUAUCACUUUGGCCCUCCAAAAUCGCAAUAAUAAGUCCCUAAACUUUCAGCACUUGUACACUUUGAUCACCAAGUCAUGUUUUUGUGCACUUUUGGUCCUUUUUUCCUUGAUUUAGCUCUUUUCUCAUCCAAUUUGGACUUUUGGUCUACAAACACCAUAAUUACACAAUUAUAAAUAGGAAUCCACUCAAUUUCAUCAAUAGUUAGCUCGUUAAAGUGCCUAAUAAGUAUGUAAAAACACACUUAUCAUAAAUUGCUGUUAGAGGCUGGAAAACUGGAUAGCGAUGAUAGAUCAAGAUAUGCAAGAAGGGUGAUUAUAUUUACGACAAGAAUUUUUAUUACUACACCACUUUUUAAUUGUAAUAGAAGUCCUAAUUCUUUACUUGUUAUUUUAAUUAUUUCCUUCUCUUUUUCUACGUUGCUUCUUAAUCUUCAAUCUUAUAAUUAUUAGUACAUAUUCUCCAUAAUAACAUUUUUGUUUGAAAAUCCUUUAGGAAAGUAUAAAAAGACUUAUUUGCAUUUCAUAUUUUUAAACCAAAAAUAAUAAUAAUAACAAAAUAGAAAAGUAUAAAUUCCUUCAUUUCAAAAACACAUUGACUGAAUAUUUGAUAGAAACCAUCAGGAAUUAUAUGUGAUAGUUAAUAGAAGAUUGAGAAUAGAAAAUGUGACCAAUAGAAUUGAGGACAUACAUGUUAAUCAAAUAUUGGGGACCUUUCACAUUAUUAAAAUGUGAUGUAUCAAAAAGAAAUUGUGAUGGCAAUAUAAUUAGUCCUGAAAGAAUUGUUGCUGAGCAAAAGAAUUUAAGAUUAUGCAGAAUCUACUUAUCUACUCAUGACUCAAUUGGCUCUAUUUCAUAUUUAUUCUCUCUACUCCAGAUCUUCUCUCUCAAUUUUCAAGCUUUUCUCACAAUAUUGAAUAAAAAUAUUCUGAGCCCAAGCGAGACCCACACGAGAAAAUAUAUUUUGUUCUUUAAAAUAAGAUGAUAGGUUCAAUAAAAAGUAGGGUAUAAAAUAUCUUGAUGGCAAUAUUCUUCGCCUCGACCUUCGCAUUGUUCGACCCCCUAUGGGAGGGGGCCGCAAUUCCUUGAUGGGGUGGGAAUGGGGGACACACCCCAUCACGAAACUGCUUCAAUUCUAAUUUUUUAUUUUUUAUUUUAUUAUAAUUUAGAUUGCACUUUAAACAAUAAAAAGAUAAGUAGAUUGGGCGAGAAAUGGGGAUUUUUUAAUCCCUACAAGAGCCGGAAAUGGAGAGGGCAUUCCUGGCUUCGCCCUACCCUGCCCUUCCCUGUUGAUAUCCCUAUCUAAAUUUGUUAAGAGUAAAUUUUGAGAAAAGGAAUUAUGAAUUUUAGUUAUUAUAUUAUUAUGACGCAAUUUGUUAACUUUUAUAGUCAAGUAGCCAGAAAAUUUAUAUUUUCAAUUGUAUUACAUCUUAAUAGAUUCGUAUAUUAAUCUAUUUAAUCGACGAAAUGGAGGACACUUCCACGUAUACGUGCACAAAUAUUCGGUACGUACUUGAUGCAUGUAAAGGAGCAGUAAAAGACUUGUUGGAAAAUGGUUGGCCUUGUGGAUUUAAUAGACAAUGUAACCUUUUUGGUUUCGGAAAUGAAUCAGAGGGAUUAAUUGGACUUUAAAUUGAAAUGAUACCUUGUAACAACCAGCAAACCUCAACGUCCCUUAACUAUAUAAUGUGAUGUGGAAGCGAUAAUGAGAUGUUUAUUAGUGCAUGAAAUUCACCAAAAUAGAAGAGGGCCUACGAACCAUAUAUUGGGUUACAAAUCUCACAAAGUUUGUUAAAUAUAGAAAUAUUGUAUAGAAUAUUUUUCAUUAUAUUUUUCCUUUUAGUGUAGGAUUAUUUUCCUUGUACAAUUAUUUCCUUUUAUGUUUAUUUCUUUUAUUGUUAUUUAUAACCCUAUAAAUAUGAUCUUUUACAUUGUAAUAAACAAGAGCUUAAAUUGUAUAAAAUUAUUCAUAUUUUUAUUAACAUGGUAUCAGAACAGGUUCCAUUCUAAAUAGCUGCUCGCUUGAUCAAUUUUUUUCUCACCAUGUUUGUUGAAAUAUAAUUCGUAGCCAAUAUCCCUCGAGCUUCCUUCAGACUCAGCCCGCUGGAAAGAAACACAUAGGUGGGCUGCUCCGGGUCCCUACUGAAAAGUCAAAAAUUGAGGCUACCAUUAUAUUCAAAUUGCGGCUAUAAGAAAAAAAGGAGGUUGGAAUUGAUUUAGUUGGCUGCUGGGCUACCUGUUGAUACAUAGACACAUGCAAAAAAAAAAAAGAAAAAGAAAAAGAAAAAAAGAAAAAAAAAAAAAAAAAAAAAAAAAAAAAAAAAAAAAAAAAAAAAAAAAAAAAAAAAAAAAAAAAAAAAAAAAGGGAUUCCCCCAGAAGCUGCCUUCAAAUUCAAGAAAACACAAUUUUUUUUUUCAAACUCUCACGGAUUCGGUAAUCUUUUCGUGUUUUAAUUUUUUUAAUGUUGUUUAAAAAAAAAAAAAAUUGUUUUCCCUCCUUUUCUUGGAAAUUUAAUUUUAAAAACUUUGGAAGGUCGGUAUAUUGAAUUUUAUCGGCUCUCUCCUUGCCCCUUAAACUAACUAGGGUUUUCUUAUGUUAAAAAAAAAAUAAAAAUUUGGAGGGUCAAUACUUUGAAAUUUACCGGCUUUUCCCGUGCCCCUUGACAAAAAUUCAGGGGUUUUCUUAUUAAAAAAAAAAAAAGACAAAAAACUUUUAGAGUGUCAAUACAUAGAAUUUUAUCAGUUCUCCCCCUGCCUCUUAAAAAAAAAAAACCAAAGGUUUAUUUUUAUUUUUUUGAAAGGUCGGUACCUUGACCUUUAUCGGCUUUUCCCAUAUUUUUCUAUUGUUUUAGCAACUUAAAAUGUUUUUGCUAAAUCUAAAACAUUAAAAAAAAAUGUCCAUCAAAUAUUUUCUUCCAGGCAAACAAGAAUCUACUUAUCUCCAUCAAUAAUGACAAAAACCUCAAGUGUUUGGAGUUCAUUCUAGAUCAGUUUGGAAGAUUUGAUUGGAUCAAUUUCUUCAAACUCAAUAUUCUAUACCAUAUUGAGUUUGAGGGGAGGGUGUUAAAGAUAAAAUUAUUGUAUAGAAUAUUUUUCAUUAUAUUUUUUCUUUUAGUGUAGGAUUAUUUUCCUUGUACAAUUCUUUCCUUUCAUGUUUAUUUUAUUUUAUUGUUAUUUGUAACCCUAUAAAUAGGGUCUUUUACAUUGUAAUAAACAAGAGCUUAUAUUGUAUAAAAUCAUUCAUAUUUUUCUUAACAAAGUUGGUACUUGGUUGUGGUUGUCAAUAAUGAAAUCUUUUCAUUUUAUGUAAUUGCGUUCUUGAUCAUUGGAGCUCCUCAAAUAGAUUUGAAGCGUAGAAAAGCAAGUGGAUAUACCUAUCAAAGAAUGUUUGAAUUAAGCUUUAUAUUCAAGGUUUUCUUAAAAAAUUAAAACUAUUUUAUCUACACACUUCAAAAUCUUGAGUUGGUAUCAAGGCCUAUAAGGUCGAUACUUUUGGCAUUUUUCCAUGUCCAAAAAUGAUCUUGCAUGCUUCAAAAUGGUAGUGAAUUAUGUAUGAAAGUUUAUAUAAACUUUGGAGGUCCUUAAUGUCAACUUGUGGUAAGGCUAUGUAGUUAGGCUAUGCAUGUCGAUGAUAAUUAUUUUUGUUUAUUCAUCUAGAAAAGUUCUAAUCGUAAUUAUUUUCAUUUGAAUGUCAAUUAGCACUUUGAUUAUUUUUUAUACAUAACCAAGAACCAUUAUAUUAAUUCAAAUCCCCAAUGCUCGAACAACGCAUGAUAAAAAUAGAAAAAUGUAAUGGAUUUUGAUACUUGUACAUCAAAAAUGUAUAUAAGGGGCUAUAUAGUAUGAUGUGGGGGAAAGUGAUUGGUUGAAAAAGUUAACUGUAUUUUAAACUGACAAAUGAUAGAGUACCACGUGAUAUUAUGUAAUCCAUUACGUAAUCACUGAUGUACAUGUAGUAAGAUUCAAAUAUAAUACAUCCAUAUAUCAACAAGAGGACCAUGAAUAGCAAAUGAGGUGAGCCGCUGCCCAUGGACCAACGUAUUCCACUCAUAGGGUUAGGGUGUAUCCAAGGAUCAAAGCGCACCUCACUAUCCCCCCCCCCCCCCCCCCCCCUUUUUUUUUUGGGGAUAUUCAAUCUUUGAGUUAUUUCUUCUCCAUAAUCCCCGUGACCACCCGCGACCCUUGAAUUGCAUUUGUACUAUUUAUAUAGGAUUGAAAGAUGGUAAUUGCAUCACCACUUGAGUCAACUGCGACAGUACAAAGAAGUCCUUCAUUGAGCACAUACACCCCGUUUUCCAACUCUGAAAAAUAUAAUUUUCAACAAAUUGGAGUUAGUAUACACUACAUACAGACUGAAAAUUCGAAUCUUGAAUAGAAUGAAGUUAAGAAUUUGACCCAAAAAACUGAAACCCAAAUCAAUAUUUUUUUGCAUAUAUAAACAACUUUUUAUCUAUGUUGAUGUUAAUCUAUAUUUGACCUGAAAAAAAGACCAUAUCAUUAAAUGCCCAAAGAAUAUAUACAUAAUUUCACUUUGCCGUCAUCGAAGAGAUUUGAGGCGGCGGCUGGUUGCGACCAUUUUGGAGAACAAAUGUUUCAGUAGAUAUUGUGACAAACUAAAUGAAGUUACAAUAAAAAUUUAUCUAAUCCACCUCCAAAAAGUGGUGUUUUUUUUUUUUUUUUUUUUUUUUUUUUUUUUUUUUUUUUAAAGGGUUAUUGGAAUAGCAGCCAUUAGAAAUUGGUUUCCUAUUUUCAAAAGAUUUUUAGCAAGGAAUGUUUUGAAGGUGAAACCCCCAAUCCCAACCACCACAAGGAGUAUCAACUAUCAAUACAAAUUGUCUCCCAGGGCAUACUCCAAUGGUGCAAAGGACAUGAGUAAGAUAGUCUCAUUCUUGCUGAUAGUCACAGUAUGAGGGUUUGAUUUCUGAGAUAUGGAAUUAAACUUUUUGUGAGCAUUAUUGUAUGGGCAAACUCUUGUUCCAUGGCCUGUUGGGGCACAUCUCGUAAUUACCUCCCUCACGAUACUCCAGGAGCGGGGCGAUGGGAGCCCUCAAAGUUGGGGUUCAACCUCUAUUUUUUUUUUUUUUAAUUUAAUAUAACUAUCAAUACAAGUUAUUCUACACUAGAAAUAGUCACACAAGAAGACAAGCAAAAAGUUCAAGUUUUCUCCCAAUCAUUGACUAAUAUCUAUCUCUUUUAGUAUAUUUAUUAUAGCCCAACACACCUUUUUUCAUGUGUUUCUAGCAUCAUUUAGCAUAUAAAUUAAACCUAAUAAUUUGUUACAGAAAAGUUAAGCAAGCCUCCCAAACUUAGUAAAAUAUAAAUUUCAUUUGGGACAAUCAUUGUAAAUAGUAAACUUAUAUUUUCAAAAUAAAUUACAUAUUUAAUAUUAAAAUAGUAAAUAUCAAUGUUUGUUAAGAUAAGAUGAUACUAUUUUAAAUAUACACGACGAAAGCUAAUUAUUUAACUGAUAUUGUAUAUAAUAAAUGUGAUGGAAUAAUUUUUAUAAUUGACAUCAAUUUUACACUAUUUUUAAUCGUGAUUAUAGAAUAGGGACUUAACAAUUAGCUGCCAUUUAUUGUAAUUGAUAGCAUUUUUACGUUAUACUCAUCAUGAAUAUAUAACGACAAACUGAUUAUUUUUAAAAGUAUACCAACAAUUAAUACUUGAUAUCAUGAAGGUCACCUCAAUGCUUCUCAAGUUAUUAUGAGGCUAUGUAGUUAAGAUAUGCAUGUCAAUCAUUAUUAUAUUUUUUUUUUCAUUUUUUCAUUUUGCAACAGUCUAAUUGAUAUUAUUUUCAUUGACCAAGAACCAUUAUAUUAAUUCAAAUCACUCGAGGCUCAAACAACGUGAAUUCAAAUCACUCGUGGCUGAAAAAACGUGUGAUAAAACUAGAGAAAUACAAUAUAUCCACCCAUUAAGAAGAGGACCUUGAAUAGUGAACAAGACAAGCCCAUGGACCAAUGUAUUCCACUCGCAGGAUACAUUGUAAUAAGGACCAAACCGCACCUUACUAGCACUUGGCGGAGGAAGUUCGCUCAAGUCCUUCUCCAUACUAAGUUAGACUACCUUACAAUUCCAUCCAUGAGACAAACACGUUAAAAUUUUGGGACAUGAAUGAUGACAUUUUUCAAAUAAUGAUGGAAAAAGUUCAUGAAGAUCCACGUGGCAUGUUUCAUCACAACUUCAACUAGAAGAAUUUUACAACUCAUGGAAGCACUUUAAGCAGGAAGUCAACAUUGCAAGUGUACCUACAAGAAAAUCUUAGCUUCUUAUUUGGGAAAAUGAAAGCUCCCUGCCCGUAAUAUAAGCAUUUAUGUUUUAAUUCCAUUUAUAAUGUCCAAAAAAUUUCAAUUAACAAUGUAUUACGUGAUUCAUGCCCAAAAAUUUUUACGGCUAAAUUAUUGAGCAAUCUGUUAAUUAAUACUUGUUGAGGUGAUUAAGAAAUCAUCCUUGUAAAACCAAUAAAUAUACUCUGCGAGUCUCGCCCUCUACCUGCGAAGCAUAAGCGAUAUGUAAGUGAUAAGAAUAAAGAAGAAGCUCCUUAAACCUUUGCUUCCAAGCGUCCUUCUUAGAUAAAAAUUCAUGAAAGUGUUGACACAUAAAAAUUCAGCCCAAAUCAAACGGUCCAAGGAAUGAAACCCAAUUGGAGGAUCCCCAAAUCAGAUAGCCCAAAGAACGAAGCUCAAUCAAACAAUUCAAGAUGAAGGCCCAAAUAGGGAGGCUCAAGAAUGCGGUAACGCCAUCGCCCAAAUUUGCAAGUUGCCCAGAAUCUGAGCGAAUGGAGUGCCAUGCAGUCGCCCAGAGCUGUUACUCUAUUCUCGCCCAAACCUUCAAGUCGCCCAAAGUCUUAACAAACAUAAAGCAUUGUAGUUAUCAAAAAGUGCAGUUAUCAAAGCAGUUAUUAAAGCAGUCCUAUCACGUUCCACGAUUCAAGGAAUUCAAUCGAAAACGGUUGAACGACGAAGAGUAAUGACAGCAGUUAAAAAAGGCAGUUUUUAUGACAAGCUGGCCAUUAUGAGGAAAGCGGACAGUUGUAGAACGAUCAAGCAGUUUUUAGGUGGUUGAUCACAAAAAAGAUCAUCCAUGGAGUAUAAAAGGAAGAAAAGACAUAGAGCAAAAGGACCGAAUCAAAAACUCUCGAACAUAGAACAUGUAAUUUUAAUUUCCUUAGUUUUAGACUUAAACACUUUUUUCAGUAACUCGUGUGCUUGCGCCCCUUGGAGGCAUUUUGUUUUUGAUUUCCAAUUGUAAAGUCAUCACCAAUAAAAGAACACCCCUUUUUGAGACUUGUCUCAAGAGGUUUGUCCCUUACACAAUCGUCUGAUCCCUUUUAAUUGUUAGCGACUAACCCGCACGAAACAAUUUGGUACGCCCGGUGGAAUAGUGGUGUUUGGUGUUGAAAGUACAAAAGGUGAAACAAUAUGCCUCAGAGAUCCGAUAAGGAAGCAGCAAGUCAGGGAGGAGUCCAGUCUGUGAUCGAGCGAUAUGAGGAUCAGCAUGCCUCUCCACGAACAGAUGGACAGAAUCAGAGCAGUAACAGUCGUUACGAACCAAUGACGGAGUUGAGUCCUCGAACCAUGCGUGCAUUACUUGGAGAACUCACACAAGACGUUGUUGAACAGGUAAAUCUUCGAAAUAUUCAUAAUAUGGAAAUAUUUACCCAAAAUGGGAAUGCACACUAUGACAACAUGGCCAAACAACUAAACACUUUGAACGAAACAAUGAAUAAGUUAGUAGGCCAAAUAUGUCAACCGGUUAUACCUCUUGCAAAUCACUUUCAAACUAGGACGAUUGUGGGACAUAAUCCCUCAGUCCUAAAUUUGAAUCAAGGGGUAGAACUAUUUUCUGGUCCCUCUACUUCAAACCAAGGGGGUACUGCAGUACCAAAUCAGAACAAUGGUAGUGGUACACCUAACUUGGGGGGUAAUCCAAAUAUAAGAGAUAAUGUCCUAAACAAUGAACAGAAUACCCGACGUGUUAAUGAGGGAAUAGAUGUUCAGACUAAUGGUAAUGGCAGUAAUCAUGGUAACUUUAUUGCCAAUCAAGGACCAAACAUCAGGCCUCAUGCAAAUCAACCGGUUAACCAGCCUGUAGGAAUUCCAUAUGAUCCCAACGUCAUGUUGAGAAAUCAGAUUAUGGAAAUCGUACAGGAUCAGAUGGCUUUUGGGGUACGUCCCGUUAUUAGGCCGACGUACACAAAGCCAUAUCCUGAUUGGGUAGCUCAAGCAUAUCCAUGGCCUAGAGGGUACAAAGUGCUAGAAUUCUUACUGUUUACCGGUUUAGGAAAGAUGUCUACUCUAGAACACAUAGGGCGAUUCACAUUGUAAAGUGGUGAUGUAAUCGAUUACCAUAAAAUGAGACUUUUCCCUAGUUCGUUAACAGGAGUAGCUUUUUUCUGGUUCAUCAACUUGCCAGCGAACUCUGUUCAAACAUGGCAACAAUUGGAACACUUAUUUCACGCUCAAUUUUAUAAAAUUGAGUCUGAAGUCACUUUGGCUGAUUUGGCGAAUCUACGUCAAAUACGAACGAAUGGGCAGAAAGUUUUCUCCAAAGGUUCAAGACAGUAAGAAGCAAGUGUUUUGUACCUCUGCCCGAAAAGGAAUUUGUCAAAAUCGCUCAGGGCUGCUUGAGCUUUGAUUUAAAAAAGAAAUUUCAGGACAAGGAAUUUCCCGACCUUUUCCAGUUGAGUGCAAAUAUGAUUAGGUAUGAACGACUGAUAAGAGAGGAAGAACAGAUGAAAAAUUCUAGUAAAGGGACUUAUUACAAAGACCCAAAUUUUGAUGUUCAUACCAUCAGUGACGAAUCAUACGACCAGGCCGAAAUGUGUUUGGCCGAAUUGGUCAAAGGAGAUACGUAUACUUGUCCCAUAAUGGCCAAGCCUAGACCAUCGGGCAAAGAUGAGUCCAUAAAAUAUGGAAACAUAAAGGCUAGAACGUUCUCGUUCGAUGUAACCAAAGCUGACCUUAUAUUUGAUAAAUUAUAUAGGGAUAAGCAGAUAAAGUUGAGCGAUAAGCACAAAUCGCCAAACCCUGAACAAAUUAAGGGUAAAAAAUAUUGUAAGCGGCAUAAUGCAUGGUCACAUUUGACUAACAAUUGCUUAGUUUUUCGCCAUGUAUUGCAGGAUGCCAUUGAAUCAGAAUGAAUUACGUUCGACGAUAAGAAGAAGAUGGCAGUGGAUGAAAAUCCUUUUCCACAACCACUUGGAGUGAACAUGGUGACGUCUGGAUUCAAAAAUAAGUUGCCAAAAUUCAAGUUGGUCGUAGAUGAUGGAGAAGAGGAUCCUAGACCACAUCCCAGUGUCUUUGAACGAAUCAAGAGGAAAGAACCAAAAAAGGACGAAGACGUCCUGUGUGUAAGAUGUAAAAGAGAAAUUAAUGGCAAUACGGAGAAACCAGGGAUAUGGCAGCAUCCCCAUCGCCCUACCUUCUUCCCAAACACUCAGCCUGGUAGAGGGCGAGGUACAUCAUUCUAUAGAGGAUCACUUUUUGAGAGGCAGUUCAGGCCAGCAGAUAAUGGAAGAACAUUCAGGCCGCAACCUCGCCGGCCAAAUGUAUCGCAUUCAUUCCAGUAUAAUGCAGGAAGGGCAAUACCCUUCGAUGAGAUGACUAGAACCCAACAAAGGCGUUUCCAACGAAACUAUGGACGGAUGAUGAGGCAGCAACAGGGAGUGCCACAUCCUAAAGCGCCUAAACUACUCAAGGUAGCCAAUCAAAAUGUCCUCAACAAUAGUGACGAGACCGGUACAGAUGAAUCAAUGAAGGAACUGCCAGAAACUUCUUCUGGGAGAUCAAAGUUUGAGCGAGACAAAAGGGAUGGAGAAGAUCCAGAUCAGCCCCUUACUAUCCAAUUCGGUACGUUGCCUCCUGUCGUGGCCAAUAAUUACUUACUGGCCAAUGAAUUCAAGAAUAAAGAAAAAGAAGAAGAGAAGGAGGACAACGAAGAAGAAGCUUGCGUGCUGGAAUGUGAAGAAGGCCAGACUUCUAGAGAGGCCUACAAAGAUGAAGAGGACGACGGGAUGAUAGACAUUGAAGAAGAAAUCGACCUAGAAGUAGAAGGAAGAAAGAGAGGAGUAUCGUGCAAUACUCUGUUGAAGCAACUACAUCGAGAAGGAGUUCGCGAAGUAGACUUGUUGGGAGAACCAUCUGGGCGUCCUUUCGAUUUCUACGUACUGUACGGGACACCCAAAAGGAAGAAGAGAGUGACUCACUCUGAAAAGUAUGGGUCACCUCCAAGAAUAAUGCCCCCUCCCACAGGUUGGGUAACUGAUGAGGAAGCAUUAGAAAAAAGUAAGAAGGAAGUUCAGGAGACAAAGGAUCAGUGUGAUAUACUGCACGUCGACUUAUCACAGGGGGAUAAUUCGACAGAAAACAGGCAGGAAGUAGAAAUAGAGGCUACCGAAAAGGAUAUUUUUAAACGGCCAGCCAUGAAAUUGACUAAACACUUGAGGCCAUUGUACGUUAAAGCUCUAGUUAACGGCAUCCCAGUGGCAAAAGUGCUUGUCGACAAUGGAGCAGCUAUAAACACCAUUCCAUUUAGGAUGAUGAGGAAGUUUGCAAAGAUAGAGGGUGACAUGAUUCCUACAGAAGUCAUCCUCACGAGCUUCAAUGGAGGAGCAACUUCAGUUAAGGGAGUUAUGCCAUUGGACAUAACUAUAGGGACGACUACUAGGACCACUGUCUUCUUUGUAAUAGAUGGUCCUACUAGUUACAAUGUGUUACUAGGAAGAGAUUGGAUACACGAAAAUCAUUGUAUACCCUCAUCGCUCCAUCAAUGCCUGAUCUUUUGGAAUAACAAAGGCGAAGCAGAGGUGGUACAUGCCGAUCAUAGGCCUUUUGUCGCAGAAGCAAACUCGGUGGAAAAGUUCAUGUACGAAGGAAACUAUGGACCUGUCAGGGUAGUACAAGAUGGGGAAGAAACUCAAGUUGUCGCGCAAAGCGAAGAGCCAAUUUCAGUGGACACACUCACUGAAAUGUUCAGACAGAUGAGGCCAAAUAUAGUGGCCCUGGAAGAGCCAGUAAUUGGCAAAAGAAUAAUCAAGGAGUCUUGAAUGGAUUCUAAGUUACGAAAACAAAUGGCCGACAUUCAGGCCUUCAAAGCCAGACUAAUGGCUUUCAAUAAGGAAUGCAAUGACAAGAUGAAAGAAGAUACAGCCCUAAAAGCGCUGAAGGACAAAUUAGCAGUAUUCGAGUUAGAACAAAGCAUUGGCUGAGAAGUCAACAAGGUCGACUGUUUAGAAGAGGAAGUACUUACAAGGGAACUGGACGACGAAGUGAUGCGGAUCGUCAAACCUAGAUACGCUCAAGCACAAGACCCUCUGAUCAAAGUAAAUAUUGGCAAUGAAGGAGAAGAUCGUCCAACAUUCAUCAGCCAGAUGCUCGAUCAAGAUGUUAGUAAUAAAUUAAUCGCUUUGCUAAAAGAGUACAAAGAUUGUUUUGCUUGGGAAUAUGAACAAAUACCUGGUUUAGAUAGAGACUUGGUGGAACAUAGGUUACCAACUAAGCCUAACUUUAAAUCUCAUAGGCAGCCUCCUAGACGUUUUGCUCUCAAUGCACUCCUUGAAAUCAAGAAAGAGAUAGAGCGAUUAUUGAAAGCAGGUUUUAUUAGAACAGCCAGAUAUGUCGAAUGGUUGUCCAAUAUUGUACCAGUACUAAAAAAGAAUGGUAAACUAAGGGUGUGUAUAGACUUUAGGAAUUUAAACAUAGCUACACCCAAAGAUGAGUAUCCAAUGCCCACGGUGGAUUCUUUAGUGGACUCGACUGUCGGACAUGUUAUGUAUUGUUUCAUGGAUGGGUAUUCAGGAUGCAAUCAAAUUUAUAUAGCUAAAGAAGACAUACACAAAACUGCCUUUAGAUGCCCUGGGUCUUUAUGAUGUUUUGAAUGGGUGGUUAUGCCUUUCGGCCUAAAAAAUGCAGGGCCAACUUAUCAACCGGCAAUGAAUUUAAUCUUUCAUGAUAUGAUAGGCAAGUUUGUUGAAGUGUAUGUAGAUGACAUAGUAGUCAAGUCCAUUAAAGAAGAGGACCAUUUCGAACAGUUAAGAUGUUCGUUUGAGCGAAUGAAGCAAUAUAAGCUAAAGUUGAAUCCCUUGAAGUGUGCAUUUAGUGUUAAUGCAGGGAAUUUUCUUGGUUUCUUAGUAUACAAGAGAGGGAUUGAACUUGAUAAAAAUAAAGCGAAGGCCAUUUUAGAGGCCAAACCACCUAGCAACAAAAAAGAAUUGCAAAGGUUUCUAGGCCAAGUAAACUUUUUAAGACGCUUUAUUUCUAACUGUGCAGGGCGAACUAAAGUCUUUUCGCCGCUCUUAAAGCUGAAAAAUAGGACGAAUUCGUCUGGAAAGAAGAACAUCAAAAGGCUUUCGAAAGCCUAAAGACAUAUUUAUCAAGUCCACCAGUGUUGGUGUCACCAAUCCAAGGACGGCCAAUGAAAGUGUACGUAUCGGCUGAAAAAGAAUCAAUAGCUGGAAUGGUCGCACAGGAAGACCAAUUUGGUGAAGAAAGGGCAAUUUACUACUUAAGUAGACGGUUAACGAAAUGUGAAUGUAAUUACUUUGCUAUCGAAAAAUUAUGUCUUGCAUUGUAUUUCACAUGUACAAAAUUAAGGGCUUAUUUACGGCCCGUAACCGUUUAUUUAAUUUCUAAAGUAAAUUUAGUUAAGUAUAUGUUCUCGCGCCCUAUUUUACACCAAAGGGUAGGCCUUUGGACACUAGCUUUAUCAGAAUUCGAGAUACAAUAUAUACCUCAAAAGUCAGUCAAAAAUCAGGUUUUGGCUAAUUUUCUAGCCAAUCAUCCAUGCCUUGACAUGCCUGAAAAAAUUGAAUUAGAAAUCAAUUCGUUCGAGUUAAAACCUUGGGUGUUGUAUUUCGAUGGGUCAAAAACCUCUAAAGGCGCAGGAGUAGGAGUAGCAUUGAUUAAUCAUUUAGAGAUUUGCUAUAAGUUCGCAUUCACUUUAGACAGAAUGUGCACCAACAAUCAGGCCGAAUAUGAAGCCUUAAUUGUAGGCCUGGAACUAAUGAUAGAUAUGAGAGUAAAAAAUGUGAUUGUUAGGGACGAUUCUCAAUUGGUAAUCCACCAAUUGAUUGAUGAUUUUAAAUGCCAAAGUGAUUCCAUUAUAAGUCAAUAUGAGAUCGCCCAAGAGUUGUUGGAAGAAUUCGACCAAGUAGAACUUCAAUGCAUUAAUAGGAUAUAUAAUGACAUGGCAAAUGAGUUGACCCAAAUGGCCCCAGGAUAUUCAAAGGUUUUGAAUUGGAAGUCUACUUGUGAGUAUGGAAUCAUAUUGCCCGUGACUUAAAGAAGGGCGAGAAAGAUUGAACUUCACUGCAUACAAGAUGGAGAUACAAUGGAUUGGAGAACAGAUAUUAAAAGGUUCCUUAAGGAACCUAAUGGAGGGAUUAGUAGGAGAAUGAAGCUGUGUUUGCUAAACUAUACACUAAUAGAUGAAGAGUUGUUUAAGAAACGCUCUGAUGGUGUAUUACUAAAGUGUGUAAGUUUGCAAGAAGCCAAGACGAUCAUGACUGAGGUGCACGAAAGGAUAUGUGGAGCUCAUCAAGCUGGCCAAAGGAUGAGAUGGUUAAUUAUUAGGAGUGGAUAUUUUUGACCAAAGAUAGGAGAAUUAUGCGUUCAGUAUGCAAAGAGUUGUUUAGUAUGCCAAAAGCAUGGUCUAAUACAAAGGGCGCCAGCGUGAGAGAUGGCACCUAUUAUUAAACCUUGGCCGUUCAAGGGUUGGGCGAUAGACCUGAUAGGGAAGAUUUAUCCCCCAUCGUCCAAGCAACAUACUUUUGUUAUAGUUGCAACCGACUAUUUCACCAAAUGGGUAGAGGCGGUACCUUUGAAAGAGAUCACCCAGAAGAAUGUUAUAGAGUUUAUCCGUGAUCACAUUAUUUAUAGGUUUGGAAUUCCACAAACGUUAAUGGUAGAUCACGGAACAUCUUUGAAUGGGGAUCAAGUGAACAAAUUUUUGAGCGAGUUUGGGGUUAAAUUAGUAAACUCCACACCAUACUACGCUCAAUCCAACGGACAAGCAGAAUCUUCUAAUAAGAUUCUAAAAAAUAUCAUCAGAAAGAUGAUAGAUGAAAAUGCCAGAAAUUGGCACGAAUGUCUGAACAAGGCCUUAUAGGCUUAUAGAACAUCACCUCGGUCAAGUACCAAAGUUACUCAUUUUCAACUUGUUUAUGGAUAGGAGGCCAUUUUGCCUAUGGAAAUCAACGUGCAAUCGAUUAGAGUUUGCUUGCAACAUAAGUUGAAUGAUGAUGAGUAUGCCGAAUCACUAGUUCAAAAUUUAUUGAGGUUAGACGAAUUAAAGUUGGACGUCUUAGAUAGAUUGCAAGUUCAAAAAUAAAGAAUGGCUAGGUUUUAUAAUAAAAAAGUCAUAGCCAAGUCGUUCAACCUAGGUGAACUGGUUUGGAAGACGAUACUCCCUUUGGAUAGCAAGGAUCCAAAGUACGGGAAGUGGUCGCCCAAUUGGGAAGGACCAUACAAAAUAAACAGUGUGUUGCCCAAUGGAGCGUAUCACUUGGAAGAUUUUAGAUGGCACCAAACACAUGAGAUUCGUUAACGGCAAAUAUUUGAAAAAAUAUGUUCCUUCUUUAUGGGAAUGUGAACAGAUAAAAGCAUAAUCAAAAUAUGUUGAACGAUUAAGGAUAACAAGGUCACAGCGAAAUACGUUCAAAUAAAGUCCUUUAUUACCAAACGUUCAUUACAAAGAUGCGAAAAUACAAAUAAUGGAUGCUCUACAAACUACAAUAAAAAAUAAGCUAAUCUCCCGUUUGAUCGCUGAGUAAGAGGGUGGACUAGCCUCACACCGCCUUUCUAGAUGCAUCGCUGCAAUGGUGGGAUCGUCGAGUAAGAGGGUGGACUGGCCUCACCACCUUCCUAAAUGCAUCGCUGCAAUGGCGGGCAAAGAGGCUGAGAAGCACUCUCAGCAAGCAAACUAAGAAGCACUCUCAGCAAGCAAUGUGGCCCGCAAUCAUCCCAAAAAUUGCCUUCUAUCAUCGACUCCUUGUAAAGGACAAAGAGACGAUGGGAAGAACUUCGAUGGUAAAAACUUUGCUGUUGGCCAAAAAAUAUUUCCUAUACCUCCCACACCAAAGGUGACAUCAAGGCAAAUAGUAAAAUGGGCGGACUAAACAAUCCAUUUUUAUAGAAAGACGAAAGUUUCGGAUCGGAUUGAUUGUCAGAAUGCCAAACAAUGGCAGCAAAUUGGUUUCGAAGAAGAAAAUGAAGAUGAAGAUGGAAGAUGGAAGAUGGAAAAUGCGAAGCAUACGUGCAUUUAUAGGGGGUGGAGAUGAAGAGACAGAAUAUGAGCAGCCACAUUCUGCUUAGUAAAUGGAAUUAAAUAGCCCAAAGUCUUGGAAAAAGUGGAGGAAAUAUCAAAAGAAAAAUGGGCAAGAUUUUUAGCACAAAGCAGUUAAAUGCUUGAAGAAUUGACGACUAAAAAACAAACGUCAAAUAAAUGCACAAGAAGUUAAUAUAUAUGUUCAUUAAUGAUGAACAAAGUUACAAAGGAAAAAUCAAAUUACAAAAGAAAAAGGCACCAUAUGUCUUAAUUACAGUCCACCCCACAUUGAACGAAUUCGUUCCCUAAGUUUUUCCCAAUCCUCGUUCUACCGAGAGGAAGUGAUGUUCAAUUCAGCCACGACAUCAUCAUCAACUUCCAAUUUCUUGUACUGCUCAACCAAGGACUUAGUUCGCUCAAUUCCCUGGGAGGCGUUGCGCUUUUUAGCAGCCAUUCUCGCCUUGCAGUCGUCCAUUUUGGCUUGAAGUUCCUUCAUCUGAGCAGCCAAAUUAACCAUCAAAGAGUCUUCGAUCAUGACUUCGAAAGAGAUUUCUUUUAACUCGUCCUCAGCCUUGUUGAUCUCCAUACGCAAAGACUCUUUCUCAGAUACGGCUCGAAGAUAUUGAGUACUUUUGGCUUUUAGUUCAGCAUUCUUGGCCAGCAAAAAAAGGACCUCGGAGUGGAUAACCUUCAACGUCGCUUUAAAAUCGGCAGAAAGAUUGAGCGACGGAAGCGUCAGUGUUUGCUCCAAUUUCACAUUCAAAUGCUCAAGUUUAUCCUUAUGUCUGGCAGCACUAGCCCUACCAAUGUCCAUGUCCAUGAAGGACACGUACUCAAAUAUCGACUGCUUGAGGAACUUCAAAUCUUCCUCUGAAGAAGCAACAGGACGAUCAGAUGGAGUAGGGCGAGACGUCUUGACUUGCCCCCAGGAAGCGAACAAGUCUCGGAUAGAACGCACAAUCUUGUCAGCAUCCUGCAAAGAAAAUUGCCUAUAUUAAAGAUUCUCACUACAACAAACAAGAUAGAAAUAAAAGUGAAGCAAAGAUUACCUCAUCAACAAUUGUGGAAGAUGGCAUGUCCUCAGCCAAGUCUGCCACCAAUGACCCCUUCAUUCGUGAGCACUUCCCCUUGUUUGAGCGAGAAGAUGUUGCCACAACGGGCAGACUCAUAGGAGUAUUUGCAAAACUCAGGAGCAACAAAUCAGAAACCAAUAGCACAAGCAAAGGUAAGGCAUCAAAAAACUGAAUUACCUUCUGCUUCGAUAUUUGGGGGGUUGACGCCCUGAGAAGAAGGUGGCUCAUCCAUGGGUUGUGAUGAGGAUUCUGGAACUGAAGAUGUCUCUUUAAGCGUAGUCCCCUCAUCAACCGGUUUGGAUGAAGCAACCUCAGUGGAGGAUGAUGGAGCAGAAGCUGUCGAUGCCAAAACCUUUGAAGGAGAGGCUGAACUUUUCUGAGAAGUCCAAAAAAUCAUCAGCACACAGAAAAGUUUCAAGUAUGGAAAAGUAUGCUUGUGAGUAAAUCAAUUUAAUUACCUUCCUCCUGACGAUAAGAGGGGUAUCAUCAUCAUCAUCAUCAUCAUCAUCAACAUCAUCCUCCAGAAUGGGAGAUGCUGAGGCUGGCCGUUUGCGGCUUGGGGCACUCUUGCUAAUGAAAAACUUGGCAGGGAGAGAAGAAGAUGGACGAGCAGACUGUUUAGCGCGACGAGGAGGAGAAGGACUCCUGAUGGACAAAGGAGUGACUAAAACAGGAGGAGGGGAAGAAAUGCUCGGCUGGUCUAGUGAAUGAAAGGCACGAUUGGUAUCAGCCGCAAAUAAUCUGCGCUUCACUGACGGCCAGAGCUGUUCAAAAAGAGGAUGGAUGGCGUGGCUAGAAUUGAAGGGGGCUAAUGAAAAAUAGUUGGUUAAAAGAAGAUUGCGAGCAUUUAUAGCCUCUGCCUCCGCCUUAUUAAUAAUAUGAAAACGGUCAAUUAAGUUCCUUGAAUAGCAAGGAGGAACAGGCCAAGUUUGGCCGAAACCAAGCUGGCGAGCAAAAAAUUGGGGAGCAUAAAUUUCUACCCCUGCCUUGGCAUUGGUUCCAAUUAAAAUAUCAUGAAAUAGCUCCCUCCCGGUUAAAAACUGGAUCCAAAUGAGUAGGGAGGUGCUCGCGCUGUCUAUAGUGGAGGGGGGAUGUACAUAGUCUGGAGUCAAAAAAGAAGGAAAAGGAAAAAAGAAAGAGAUUGAAUCCAAAAAAUAAAAGAAUGAAAAAAUGUCCCUUCUGGACAUAUUUACAGGAGCCAAGGGCUCCAUGGCUAGCCCAUAACAGCUAGCAGAGGAGUGAGAAAUUGAUGGAGCACCAAGCAAUGGAAAAUAGGAUCUCAACCACAGUUGAGUGAACCAAAGAGGUCCACUACCAGUGGGAGAUGCACCAUUCUUCAAUUGAGUUUGAAGAGAGGACAUGCCUCUAUAAAGGGCAGCCAAAAAGAAAGAACAUAAAUUCAAAGGCCUGCCACGCGCCAAUUUAUGCGCUAUGGGUAAAUAACUCAGGGAGGGCUUUAUGCUUAGCACACACAAAACAUAUUUACAAAGCCAAACUAGAAGAAAAGCCACUCUCUCAGUAUGGGAAGGCUCAGCGCUUGAAUGAUUGUGAAGGGUUUGUAGGCUUGAAUAAGACUCGGUGUAAUUUCUACCAAACUUUGGGGCGCCACCAGAAACCAAGAUACCAGGAAAAAUGGUAUUGCCCAAAAGUGGUAGAUUCACUAGGGCCCCAACAUCCCUUAAAGUAAUAGAUAUGGGGCCAAGAGGGAGAAUAAAGGUAUUACACUCAGAAGAUCAAAAACUCAAAGCAAUCGAAAAAAGUGCUGAAUCAAAAGUAGGGGGGUGAAUAGAGAUUUCUAACAAAUCAGAAAUCCUAACAUUAUCAAAAAGUGCCUUAGUAGGACCAUGGCCCACAAGACGAGCAUGCCACCUACGGAAAGCUACAUCAGAUUUAGGCCAAGUGCGAAUACCUCUUUCGCGAAGUGGCCCCAGCGGCAGAGAGUUUAGAAAUGGAGGGCCUUGAGUACAAGGAAACAGCUGACCCACAGCCGCCUGUUCAACUGUCUCUGCAUUGUUGAAGAAAGGACCUAAGUAGAACUCAUUGCGUUCGACAUCGGCGGGCGCGAGAAAACUCGAAGUUAUGUAUGGACGAUUCAGAAGUUUCUGAAAGUCAUCAAAACUAAAGGAGUCGCCAGCUUGAGAUUGUGAAGUAGUCAUUUGAGAUGGAACGAAGCUUUUCAGGGUUACGUAGCAGGGAAACAAAAGAUGAACAGUAAAUCGUGGGAGAAACGCGAAAAAUUUGAGGCGUGAUUUAAUGGUACGGUGAAAUGGCGUGUUUGGGGGUUAUAAGGGUUUGCAAAACGACGCACCUUUUCAAGUUAUGGAAGAAAACAAUGAUUGAAAUUCUUGGAAAUCUCGAAUGUUGCUGGAAACACAAAGUGAAUAUGGCAAAAUUUAAUAAUUAUUAUUAAUUCUGCCAUAUUUGGGGGUAAUUGUUGACACAUAAAAAUUCAGUCCAAAUCGAACGGCCUAAGGAAUGAAGCCCAAUUGGAGGAUCCCCAAAUCAGAUAGCCCAAAGAACGAAGCCCAAUCAAACAAUUCAAGAUGAAGGCCUAAAUAGGGAGGCCCAAGAACGCAGUAACGCCAUCGCCCAAAUUUGCAAGUCGCCCAGAAUCUGAGCGAAUGGAGUGCCAUGCAGUCAUCCAGAGCUGUUACUCUAUUCUCGUCCAAACCUUUAAGUCGCCCAAAGUCUUAACAAACAUAAAGCGUUGUGGUUAUCAAGAAGUGCAGUUAUCAAAGCAGUUAUUAAAGCAGCCCUAUCACGUUCCACGAUUCAAGGAAUUCAAUCGAAAACGGUUGAACAACGAAGAGUAAUGGCAGUAGUUAAAAAAGGCAGUUUUGAUGACAAGCUGGCCAUUAUGAGGAAAGCGGACAGUUGUAGAACGAUCAAACAGUUUUUAGGCGGUUGAUCACAAAAAAGAUCAUCCAUGGAGUAUAAAAGGGAGAAAAUGCAUAGAGCAAAAGGACCAAAUCAAAAACUCUCGAACAGAGAACAUGUAAUUUUAAUUUCCUUAGUUUUAGACUAAAACACUUUUUCAGUAACUCGUGUGCUUGCGCCCCUUGGAGGCAUUUUGUUUUUGAUUUCCAAUUGUAAAGUUAUCACCAAUAAAAGAACACCUCUUUUUGGGACUUUGUCUCAAGAGAUUUGUCCUUUACAUAAUCGUCUGAUCCUUUUUAAUUGUUAACGACUAACCUGCGCGAAACAGAAAGGUUAAAGCUUCUGGGAAAAAAAAGUGUCUAAACAAAUUGCUAAAUAAAAUAAUGAAUUCAAAUUUUAAUGGAAUUAAAGGCAACUUUGUCGUCCACUCAAGAAUCAGCUGGAUGGAGAAAAUUAUAGACCGUACUGAUAUUUGUGUAAUGAAUAACAAUUGAGAAAUUCUUUAUAUUUAUUAUUAUUAUUAUUAUUAUUUUAUUAUUUUUUUAACCAUUUUGAGGGGUGGUUAUCAUUGGCCUUCUAAUCAAUGUUACAGGUGGAUCUAGAAAUUUUUCGUGUAAAUGAGAAAAUCCAGCUAAAGCGUUUGUUUUGCGUUUCUAUUCUCUAUUUUCAAUUUUGAAUUCAUUUUCUGUUUUCUGUUUUGAGGGAUUAUUUUAAGAAUGCAAAAAACGCGUUUGGUUUAUCAUUUGAAAAACUGUUUCUCAAAACAAAACAAAAAAUAGAAAAUGAGUUUGGUUUAAAAAUUUUAGAAAUAGUUUUAUGACAUUUUCUUUUCAAUUAAUUUAAAAUUUGAUUAUGCUAAUUUAUGAUAAAAAAGCAACUUUUGUUAUCAUGAAUGAACCUAUCUCCAGCUCCAACUGCACCAGCCUCCUGUGAUCUUCAUGAACCUAUCCAUCAGUGCUACCAUCAUUCACCCACGAGACGAGCACACGAUCAAAUGAGUCCAAACCCCAUUUGGCGUUGCUUAAAAAUUUGGUAAAUAUUUAACUCAAAGUCAAUAAUUAAUUUGAAUUACAAAUUUCAUAGGACCAACAAUUUUUUAUCAACUUUUAACCACACAUUUCAUCGACUUUUAUCAAAAUUUACUAAAAGUCUCAUUUUUAACAUUGCCAAACAGGGGCCAAAUAACAAUUGGUCCAGUUGGUCACUGUGUUCAUCCAUAUGUACAAUUGUUUCUCUCCGUCCAAAAGGAUUAUGCAUAUACGUUCAAACUUCUCUAUUGCUGGUAAAUGGUUUCUGAGAAGUUUUGGUUGUUGAACGUUGUUUGUGGGAGUAUUAUGCUAUAGUAGUAGGGUUCGUUUUCCCAAAAAAGUGAUAUUAUUACCAGUAGAUUGAACAAUAGUUAUCUUGUGAUGGCUAAUAAUGGUCCAUUAGUUAAUAUUAUAUUUAAUGACUGCUAUAAAUAUUAUCAAUAUUUCAAUAAUUAUUGUGUUAAGGUUAUUAAUACCAUUACGAGCAAAUCUGGAACAAUUUGCAUUACCACCACAAAAAUUUUUAAUGACAACCGAAUAUUCGAUGACUGGUUAGCCAUCGUGUAAGCUAUAAUCAAAACAAAUAUUUUUAUUUCACAUUAAGAACCAUGCAUGGAACCUUCUGGUAUUAGUACACAAUAACAUGACAUGGGAAUUAAAAUCAACAUGAAACAGCACCUCAUUAACCAAUGGAAAAGUCUCGUUACAAGGAUUACGCUUUUCAGGGCACUUAUCCUAGCAACUGAUUUUGAUUCGAAAAUUUUAUUUUGUAAAAAGACGGAUAAUAGGAAAACAAGCAAGUGGUUAUGCAAUGAUAUCCCACAAUGUGACGAUUCAAUCUCUAACGAUUUGAUUAGGGUCGACUGCAUAGAGAUUUAUCGUUUUUUUGAAAUCGCGCUAAAUCUUGCGCAGAAAGAGUGGAGCACCAUACUGUGGUUGCACAGUAAAAAUAACAUAGGGAGCAUGUGUAUAAGUUGGUGCAAGCUCAAAGGAGAAGUUGCUCAGAAUAUUUGCUAAGACAAGUUUGGCUUCCAAUAGAGAGUAGUUCUGUCCAAUGCACACUCGGGGACCUGAACCGAAUGGGAAAAAUGCAAGGCGCCCAUUUGUUGCUUUCAAUACUCCUUCAGCGAACCUUUCUGGUUUAAACUCAUUUGCAUCUUCGCCCCACAAGUCUGUGUCUCGGUGAAGUAUGAUUAUCGGCAACAUCAAUAGUGUAUCGGCUGGGAUAGUGUAUUGUCCUAACUUUGUUUCUUCUUCAACCAGUCUAGACAGGUCAACAAUUGGUGGAUACAGCCGUAAUACCUCAUUGAAAAUCAUUGUUGUUUGUAAGGAUGAUAGAGGACCUCAAAUAAUAAGAGAAGAGAAUGACGAAGACACCCUAUUCAUUUCUUGAUGAUUAACGUUGAAAAAACUUGAGUGACAAUAAAAGAAUUUCUUAUAGACAUGAAAAAACCAAAUUAAGAAUAAUGAUACUGGUGCUAGAGCAUCAGUUUAGGUGUCGUGCAAGAGAUAGAACAUCUUAAAUGUGAUUUAUUUUUCUACACUUAAGGUGAUCUAUCAAUUAAUAAUGAUACUUAAACGCUAUCUAAAUUAUUGUAUAGCACCAAUGGUACUAAAUAACAUUACUUGAAUCCAAUACCAAGGCGAAUGAAUCCAGUAUAACUACAUUUUCUAAUCCGAAAGGUGAGAUUUGCAUCAUUUCGGUCUAUCACACACACAUAUAUUCAUUACCAAACACGUUUCUUUCAAAAUUAUUCAUCUGUUAUUUGUAUGAGUCCAUUAUAGGAUUAAAUAUAUGUUUUAGGUCACUAAACCUAUAUCAAAAUUAAUACAAGUAUGUCCAUGCUUUUUCUGAUGAUUUUCAACUUUUCUUUUUUAAGAUAACUAUGGAAACAUAUAUAUUUGUGAAGUAUAUAAAAUUAAGACUACUUACAAUUUUCAGUUUGCGGUCACCGAAGACUUGAAAAACCUCUUGUCUAGCACGUUCUUGCCAAUUUUGAUGGAUACUAAGUAAAAUCAUGGUCCAAACGAGCAUAGCUGUGGUAGUCUCAUGUCCUGCGAAGUAAAAUAACUGAACAUUUCCAAUCAAAUCAUCCAUAUUCUUGAUUCCAUGAGUUUCUGCGAGUUCAGAUUCCAACAACACAUGAAAGAAGUUGUCCUCCAUAGUUUUUCCUGCCUUAAUUCCCUUUGCCCUUUCAUUUAUCAGAAUCGAAAAUGAUUUUCUUAAUUCCUUUUUUUAUCUGUUUUGACCUUCGAUUUGUCAUAGUGGGAAGAUACCUACACCAAAUUGAGAAAAUUGUCAAUAUACUAACAAGAAGACACAAAAGACCUACAAUGAUGAAUAUUAAGACGAGUACAAGACGUCGAAUUUAAAUGAAGAGUAUCAGUAAAUAAUAUAAACCGACAUUUCUUAAGUUAAACCUCCAUUUUCAUCGUUUUGAAAACAAUGGACAAUCGUGCUGAGAGUACAAACAUCAUUGUAAACAUACGACGACAAUGUAAGUGCAAUAACGUACUUUGCUCCCGGUAAAUCAGCUAUUCGGGUUGUCUGUCUCGCAAUAGCGGUCAAUUCUUUAAGAAUUUCAUAGAUCCUUUUAUCCUGAGCAUAGUCAGUGGAAAAUAAAGUUCGGGACACUACUUUUGUGGUCAAGACUUCUAUAUGAGACAUCACGUCCACCACACAGGAGCCAUCCUUGGAGCUCGACACCAAGUUCUUCCAUUCGUUCACAAUUUCAUCGCAGCUUACUUGAAAUGCAGGUAUCAUUUGCUACAUAAUUAAAAACAAAAUAUUGAAAAAAAAAUGUCAAUAAUGUGUUAAGAUUAAUUAUACAGAAGAGGGGGAAAAAGAUAUUAAUUGGUACAAAAAUUUUACCUUAAUUUUUUCCAGUUGGAAAAUUGGAUUUUGAGUCUUUCUGUUUUUGCUCCAUUCUUCUCCCUCUUGAUUAAGGAUUCCACUAAUAAGUGUUUGUACUAUAUUAUUGGUUACCUUAAAAUUCUUUUUGAAAAUAUUGUAUUUACUCAUCACUGUUUUCAUCAACUCAGGAUCCAUAAUGAGCACCCGAGGUCUCGGUCCAACCCACAUGAACGACAUUUUACCUUACAAAAAAAAAAAAAAAAAAAACCUUUUUAAAAAGAAAUUAUGAUAAUGCAAAUACAAUUAGUGCAUGCAUGGAUCAAUUAUUACAUAAAUGCAGGUACCUAAGAUACGUGCUUCUGGUUUGCUGUUUUCAAACUGGUUUUAGUUUUGCAAAAUACAGAAAAUAUGUUUGGUCUGGUAUUUCAGUUCUCAGUGCAAACCACUAAAAUACAAACCAAACGGGCACUUAGUUUCCACUCACAAAUAUUUGGAAGUUCAUUAGAAUUCAUUUCUAAAAAAGUGCAUAAGUUUCCUUGAAGAUACCGUAUUUUUCAAUGGUUUUAUGAACGAAGGGCAUGACACGGGGAACAGCUUCGUCGUGAAUAUUGAUAGUCUUUCGCAAGGCUUCAGCAUAUUCGACUGAGUUCUCUUUUACGUCUCCAAACAGAAGCCUGGUCAGGGUAUAUGGGUUCCCUUUGAAGCCUUGCUGCUUAAGCAUCCUCUCCUUCUUCUUAGGUUUAAGCCAAAUCCGAUCCAUAAUUCUCCAUCCCAAUAUCAGAAAUGCUGUAAUGAACAACAUUGAACUCCAUAUAUUUUUCUCACUCCCGCCAACUAUUUCUGUCUUCAUGUCUGAUGUGUGUGUGUGUGUGUGUCUUAGAAAGAAGAGUGCGAUUGAGAAGAAGCAAUCCAAGGUAUCUAUAGAAGAAUUUGGACGUGAACUAUCAUUGUAAAACAAGUAAAAUAAUUCAUGCAUGACACGAGACAAUACAGUACUAUAAAUAUAUAAAGUAUAUAUCCCAUGCUAUGACACCUGAUUGGUAUUGCUAAAAAAUCUAAGUCAAAGAAAGCUAUUAAUUUCAUCUCCACAUUUUAUAUAGGAUGCACAAUUAUUCAAGUACACAUUCUAUCAAUUUUUAUUAACAUUUGCUAAAAAUAUGAUUUUAAUAUCUUCCAAACAAAGGCAUAACAUGAGAUUUGAUCUUUAUAUCAUAGGAUGUAAAAGAUACUUAUUUCCCAAGCAUGUUGUUCUAGUUUAUAAUCCCCCAUUAAAUAAAGAUAAAAAUAUAGAUAAAUUUAUAAAGAUUUGUUGAUAUUUCUCUUAAUAAGGUGACAUUUUUAAGAUGGUUCAUCAAAUUUUAAUGAGGUAUCAAAGCCCAUUGAACUCAAUCGAGUAGUUCGGUCCAUUUAAGACUCAAAAAAAUGAUUACACGGAUUUCAAUAUUGAUUUCCUCAAAUAAACCACUAUUUUGCUGGGCAUAUUAAAGGAUAAAAUGACACAUCGAACAAAGAUGAAAACAUAGACCAAUUUAUAAGGGGUUGGAUUACUCUUUUUAACAAUGUUAACCUUUUAAGAUGGAUCCCCAAUUCUUAAUACAAAAUGCCACUUGUUACCCUUCAGCAUUAUUUUCAUGGAAUUUGGAUCAAACACGUAAAGUCCAAAUGAAAUCGGAAAAGCUAACAUUGAUAUCAGAUUGGUAAUCUCCUUAUAAUCUCGUCGAGACAUUGCAUGAUGCAAAAACAAAUUGAAAAAAGCUGCACGUACAGGUGCAUUUUCACAGGGAUUGUUUGGAGGAGGGCCCCACAUGUAUUUAAAAAAAAUUAUGGGGCCCACCCCCACUUGUUUCUUGCCUAGUAGGGAUCGAAACAGGUCCUGUACGUGCAGCUUCACUGAAACAAAUUAGGCUUUCCACAUUGUCAAAAUAAGACGCACAUACAAAUAUGUUGUCAAGUUAUCAAUUUCUUUUUAGUAAUAAUAUACAAUAGCUAAAUGUUGACAUUAUGAGUGAUGGGUAGAUUUUGCUGUCAUGGAAUACCUGUUAGAGGACUAAAAAUAACUUCUUACGACUGUCAACGAAAAAAUCGUCAUGAAACUUGCUCCAUUAAAAUGAGAUUUUGGGGGAAUUUAACAUGUGCUUUGGAAUAAUAAUUUUUGGAGAAUAUAGUUAAAAAAUGAGGAAAACAUUUUAUUGUACGUAUAGCUUUAUUUUAUGGAAUAAUGUGAUUGAAAACGAGUUACGUACAGAGUCUUAAUUUCUAUGACAAUUGCCAAUUUCUGUAGAGUACUAGUCAUCUUACCCGUAGUGUUCCCAUUUAAGGUGUUCUCUCAAAAUGGAGAUUCACUUGUAUGAAUUUCUUUUCUUUUCUUUUCCUUCCUUUUCCUACUAAAAUAAUGGUAUUGCUAGCGACUACAUGAUGAUAUAGUUUGCACGCAAAUAUACAAAUCCAGGUUUUUCCACAGUGGCAUGCUUUCUUUUCAAUCCAGAUUAAGUAAUGAUUGGUCCUUAACACCAACCUAUUGGCCAAAACCGUAAUCCUUUGAUUGAUGGAAUGAAUUUUACAUCAACAAUUUUAUUAAAUUUUUAUUUGAUUAUCGAUAGCGAUGAUAAAUUUUUGUUUCAAAUUGAUGACAAGUACUUUUGUAACUCGGUUGAGAAGACGCUUUUUCUGAAUUGUUUUAACCUUUUUCACGCAUGAUUUCUAAUCCCCUCCUUAAAAGAUUAAAUAAUUAUAAGAUGUCAAAAUUUAUAAACCAAUUGACUGGUAGGUUUUGAAAGCAUUGAGGUGAUUUAAAUUUCUCUACAGAAAUAUAAUAAGCAUUUAAAUAAGAUUGAGCUUUUCCACGGAAUUUAGCAUAUGUUUAGCCCUAUUUUUUCAAAAACUCUCUUUAUUUUAUUUUUUUUUCAAAAUUCGUUCUCAACCACACAUUCUCCCAUAAAAUAAUUUUACAUUCAAAUUUUUUUCUUAUUUUUUAAUCACACAUUCUCCAAUAAAAUAUUAUUUUAAAAUACAUUUUAACCAAAAAUGGAGCUCAAACUAGGGCAUAAUAUGACCACCACUUGCAGUCAGUUGAUUUAAGGUUAUAUUAUUAUCGAUAACUAUUGUAGGUUUAAUAAUGACAGUGUAUCAUGUGAUUCAUGUCCAAAAAUUUCACAUCUACGUUAUUGAGCAAUCUUUAAUUGAGAGUAAACCCAACACAAAAUCUACACAUUUUGUGUUUAGUGGCACGUGUUGAAGUUAUUAAGAAAUCAUCCCAUAUUUAAUUAAGUAGACAAAACACAUGGCAAGACGCUAAGUAUGACUUGUCACACUUGGAAACAUACAUCAUUAUUUUCAAACUUGCAGUUUGAUUUAUUUGUUAAUGCAAUAAUUGGAUGUGCUAAAUUUUUUAUUUUUUUUAAUUUUUAAUAAUUUAGAUCAUUUUUAAUCAUAAUUCUGAACACGUUAUAUCUACUUAUUGUAACGAUAUUUCACAAAGAAAAAGUUAUUGUGAUCUUAGCAAUGGUGCACAUCAUGUACGUCAACAAACUUAUUAUUUUUUUUAUAGAACGAAUUUAUUGUUCAUUGACAUCUAAGAUUAGAUGAAUAAUGGCAAUUUUCCAAUAGUAUGGAAAUCCACGUAAGUAAAGAAGUAACGAUGCACUAGAUGCAUGAAUCUGAUGUCCUAAGCAUAGUGAGAGAAGGACAACAAUGUCUUUUUUUUUUCUUUUGAUUAUAUUCAAGAAAAUAUUUGAUACACAAUAUUAAAUUCGAUUAAAUAUAAUUUUAAGUUUAUCAAACACCUCACCGAGGAUGUCAAUUGACAUAUAAAGUUAUUGUGACUUUAUAAAUGGACACUUAUUUUUUUAUAAUUAAGUGGUUCGGAGAAGGACAAUUUUAUCAUUUACACCCACAUCAAAAUUUUUAAAUGAACAGUUUUGAAAAAUGUCCAUUUAAUUUACAAUGUAUCAUGUGAUUGAAUGAUUGAUGUCCAAAUUUUUUUAUUUAACAAUGUAUCACGUGACUCAUGUCCAAAAUCUUUACAGCUAAGUUAUUGAGCAAUCUGUUAAUUAUCAAAAAUAAUAUUUUGAAUAGUAAAUUUUUGGAUAAUGUGUAGUUAAAAAAUAAGAAAAAUUUUAAAUUUACGUGUAGAAUAUUUUAUUAUGUGAAUGCAUAGUUUGAAAUUGAAUACAUAGAAAAAAUAGUUAAUUUAUAAGGGUAUCAGGGGCUGAAUUUAUACGUAGACAAAACACAAGAAUCUAAAUGUCUUGUCACACUUGGAAACAUACCAUUAAUUUCAAACUUACAGUUGGAUUUGUUUGUUAAUGAAAUAAUUGGAUGUGCUCAACGGAAGACGAAGAAGAAAUUUCCAGCACAUUAUUUCUUAUAUAGUGGAACAUUUCUCUUAUUGAUACCCCGUAGAUUUUCUUCUAUUUUUGGAGUUUUUCAUGUAAUUUCUUGGGUAAAUUUUCUCUAUAUAUUUCACAUUUUUAUGUCUUAUUAGUAUUAUCUAUGAAUGAUGAUAUUGUAAGCGAGCAAAAGAAUUAGUUUCGAUUCUCAAUAUAGUUUUUUUUUGUUAAAAACUGAAAGAUGUAUAUGGAUAAAUUUCUAUUUCUUUUUUAAGAUGGUGAGGAACAUGAAACACAUGAUUUUACACCAUGAGCUCAAUGUGUAGACAUAUAAGACAUCGGUAACUAAAUUUUGCAUGUUAGAUGAAGCUGUUAAAUAUUAGACAACAAGAGAAAAUGAUAUUAUAAUCUUAAUCUUUAGUAUGUUAAAAAUCAAAUGAAAUAAAUAUAAUUUUGUGGACAACUUUAUCCAAGUAACAUUUAAACAAUUUCAAUAAUAAGCUUUUUAUUUUUUAGUGUAAUAAUGAAUAACAAAAUACAUUAAUUGAAUCAAUUUACGAAAUUAUUCAAUUCCAUAGAAUACAAUAUAUCAAAUCCUUGAUAUGUAUUGUUUCCAAUAUUGCUUAUUUGGUUAAAUAGUUUCUCAAAUUCUUAGAAGAAAUGCAUGUCUAAGCAUUGAUAAAAGUUGCUAUAGUUGGUUAAUGAAUUUUUUGAAUAAAUGUCAAUGGUUAAUUAUUUUAUGAGACAAAAGAAAAUUCAAAUAUAAUGCGCACACAAAAUAUUCGCAUUAUAACUUGUCCCCUAAAAAUAGUAGACUCUUCAUUUAGUUUAUUAAAAUUGUUGAAAUCGUACUUUUAUCUCCAUUGGUUGUCAAUUAAAAAAAUUACAUGAUUCAUCUGCCAAUCUCUCUUCUAGCUUUAUUAUUGUUUUUUCUUGUACGAUCAAUAUUUCGUAUUGUGUCAUAUAAACUACCAAUUUCGUAACAAGUGGUAUCAGAGCAAGGUUUUGAUUUUGUUUGAGGUUUCUGUUAUCGGUGGCAGCUAUGAAGUAUGAAAUUAUGCUUUUGGAUCGCAAUACAAAAUUUUCAUUGUGGCAAGUGAAAAUGCAAAUAACAAGAUGGCCACAACUUGGACAACAAAGGAGAAAUAACAGAAGGAUCGAAAGGCAUUUUCACGAAUUCAUUUUCAUCUCUUUAACAAUAUUCUUCAAGACAUUUUCAAGGAGAAGAUAGCAAUUGCAUUACGGUUGAAGUUGGAGCAAUUAUGUAUGACUAAAAAUCUAACGAGUAAAUUGUAUAUAAAGCAGAUGUUAUAUUUUCAUCGCAUGGUAGAAGGCAGAUCUUUGAAAGAUCAUCUGUCUGUGUUGAAGGAGAUCGUCGUCGAUUUGGAGAUAUUAAAGGUUAAGUAUGAUGAAAAAGACUUGGCCUUCAGUUAAAGUAUUUGGAGCUAAUUCUGCUACAGGGUGAGCUUUGACCCUGUUGUUCACGUAUCAUUUGUGGAUACUGUGAAAAAAAAAAGAGUAAUUUUCAUGAAGUGAAGAAGUUUGGUUUUGGUUGAAAAGUUCAACCUAUUUUAUUGCAGUGGAACUUAUUUUUCUAGAUGGAGAAAUUUUGGGUUAUCAUUCGUUGCACCGAAAUUUGUGUCAAGGUAGAGAUUUGUAGUGAUGUGGCCCAAAUUCUAGUAAAUAUUAGAGUCCUAAUUGAAGUGGUCAUGGAGAGAUCAAAAUUAUGAAUUAAGAAGAAUGUCAUCGCAAUUUCGCUAACCUAUUGCUAGUUGGCCGCUCGAGCAGUAGGUGAACUUUUGGAGCAGGAAGCUGUCGUCCGCCUAUCGUCGAGCUCUCACUCGAGCGGCAGCGUCGUUCAAGUUUUUCUCUUUAUGGUGGUUUCAUGUGUAUUUUGACCUAGAUUUCAUACAUUAGGUUACUUCGAGGGUUUUGACAUAUCCCCUUAUAAAAGUAGACUUUUCAUUCAGUUUAUUAAGAUUGCUAAAACUAUAUUUUUCUCUCCAUUGUUGCCAAUUAAUAAAAUUACUCGAUUUGUUUGCAAAUCUCUCUUCUUACUUUAAUUAUUAUUUUUUUUGCUUGUACGAUCAAUACUUUAUAUUAUGUCAUAUAACCUAAAAAAUUUACAUCAAUUUUAAGCUAUUUUUAAUCGUGAGUAUACAAUAACAAUAUAACAAUUAGCUGUCAUUUAUUAAUUGACAUCAUUUUAAAGUUAUAUUCAUCGUGAUUAUACAAUGAAGAAAUGAUUUUUUUUUNNNNNNNNNNNNNNNNNNNNNNNNNNNNNNNNNNNNNNNNNNNNNNNNNNNNNNNNNNNNNNNNNNNNNNNNNNNNNNNNNNNNNNNNNNNNNNNNNNNNNNNNNNNNNNNNNNNNNNNNNNNNNNNNNNNNNNNNNNNNNNNNNNNNNNNNNNNNNNNNNNNNNNNNNNNNNNNNNNNNNNNNNNNNNNNNNNNNNNNNNNNNNNUCUCUUUCCUUAAGAUGAAUUUGUCCCGCAUCGGUGCUAACGAUUUUUCGACAAUUAUCUCUCAAGAUACAACUACCACGUCAAACCAUAGGAGCACUCCAAAUGGUUUCAACCAACGAAUUCGAAUGGAAUUCCCUCUCUACCAAGAAAAUGUAUGAAAAUGCUAUGAAAUUAAAAAGAAGAGAAUUGCAAGAGAAGAAUGAAUGCUCAAUGCAAUUGGUGUACUCAAAAUCAUGUCCAUAGGGUUCUAUUUAUAGAUGUAGAAAGGGUGCAAAUGAAGUAGUGUGGGUAAAAACAUGCAUCCUUUCAAAAAGUUGCAACACUUGACCAAAAUCUGCAUCAUUUCGAAAAGUUGCAACACUUCACUUCUUCCAACUUUGGACCGCAAUUUCUCAUUCAUCCGGAAUUGGUUUCGAUAUUCCAAAUAUAUCACGACGAUCUACUUGACGAGUAGAAUAAGUUGGUCUAUUUACUUUUGUAAUUUGACCAUCGGAUCAAGUCCGAAUAUUUGGUCGAAGUUGACACAUAGUCAUAUCUUUUCAUUUUCCACUUUUACACACCUUUUCAUUUUCCAAUUUUUGGUUAAUUAUUUGAACCAAUUCCUACAAUCCCCCACAUGAAUGAAAAUUGGGGUACACAUAUGCAAAUGCGAUGAUAUUAUGCAAUGUAGAGAGAGAGAGAGCGAAAAGCCACUGCAUCAGGGAUAGUAGCUUUUGGCUUUGAACCUCCCGUAGUGAAAUACCAUCGGACUUACUCGGCUACUUGGUGAACUCACGUCUUGAACCAUUCAGCCUGUAGUGUAAGGUAAGACUACGAUACUCACACAAUGUCUUCCCUAAACCGUUCAUGGUUCUCAUGACUUGGUUCAUUUUGGCCCUGAACCCUUCUUGGUUCUGCGAGUUUUUAGAGAAUUUAAGCCUUGAAUAAUUCUUAUUGAAGCGGCCACACUUCACACUCACAUAGGUGACCUCCUAUUAAGAGUAUUCUGCCCAACUCCACUUGACUUAAUUAAGAUAUAUGAAUCAUUAAAAGAUUAUCUUAACCUCUUACAACUCUGCAGAAAACACUUUAAUAUCAUAGGAAUGAGUUAGGAAAUUAUUUUCCUAAGUAAUUUGUGGAAUUCUCAUAACUUAGUUGUCCCUUUGAACCAAGAUCUUGGGAUCUCCAAUCAACAAGGUAGGGUUACCAUUACAAGGACCCUAACGUAGGAGGCUUUACCUAAUUCCCUUCGAUAUGCAGUAUUCUUGAUCUCUCUUAGUAAAUCUCUUUAAAGGUACCACGAGUUUACACCAUUUAGAUCAACUACUUAAUGAUAUUAUGUCAAUGACUUAUACGUUUAGAUCUACCAUUACAUGUGACUUAGUAUCUUAUCAAAUAUAGCUAGCCAACGAUCGAUUUAUAUGAUAGAUGCAAAUUGUCGCAACCAAGAAAUCUUCUCAUGAAGCUAUAUGCCUCAUUAGCUUUAUCAAUUUCCAAACACGGUUGGAGGAUUUCUAUUAAACACUACACUAGUCAAUCACUUUUACUAAUGGAUUUUAGAAUUAUGGGUAUUCAAUAUCAUCAUUGAAACAUUACCAUGCAUUUGAACUUUAUGAAUAUUCUUCAUAUAUUCCAAUUGUUCUUGCAUGUUUAAACAAACGUCAUAAUCGACUUUACAACCAAUUUCAUCCACUUUAAACUUAGUGUAUAUCAUUCUUAUAAUUAGUAUAGGGGUUUUCUAUCUUUCCACCUUCAUAGAUAUUUUUCUAUGAUUAUAAGAUAAAAGCAAAUAUAAUUGUCAAACUGAGUUACCCCCACAAUUCCUUAAUUAGGAAUACAGAUAUAAUCUAGUAAUAUUGCAUCCACAAAAAGAGUAUUGAGUUUUACCCUCGCAUUCUUGGGUUAUACUUGAACUUAGAGUUCAUCAACUCUUUCAUAGUUCAAUUCAUAAUAUCCGUAUCAAGUGCUUUGUGAAAGUCUAAGUACAUUCAAAAUAGUGGUCAUUGACUCACAAUUUAUUUCAAUUAAAGUUGCAUAUAACGUACUUCAAUCCAAUUAUAUUAAUUUGAUCAUUCAAAUUAAAUCAAGGUCAUCAUAUAGACUAGCAAUGCUUUCAAAACAUAUACCAACUUAAUUGGUUUCAUGAUUGAAGUCAAAUUCAACAAUAAAGAGGGCUAAGCAUUGCAACUUCUGUAAACAUAUGCAACUUAUCACAUUUGUGACAUUUCACAUGAUAGUUUCAUUUCAACCAUCGGUUGAAAAGUUGUGUUCUCAAAAGACACAAUCCUAUAAAAGGACACACCUCUUGAGAUAAUCUCUAUGAAGAGACAUACCCAUUGGAGAAUAAUUAUAUCAAAAGUCGUGGUUUUUCAUAUGAAAGGACGCACCUUUUCAUCUAAAUUGAUCCUAGAAUAUUUCAUAAUAUUCUACACAAUUUUCUACAAUUUCAAAUAAUUAAGUGGCUUAAUUCUCAUUACUAAAUAAUGAUAUCCACUUAAAUCAUCUCACUUAAUUUUAUCAAAUUAAUUGAGGCUAUCAUCAUAGACAAAGUUAGUAUAAUUUCAUUAAGAUAUGAAAUUUUAACCAACUAAUUUACCAUGCCAUUAGCAUAUUUCAAUCAAAGGAGUCAUCAUAAAAGUUCAUAUACUCUCAUCAAAUAAUUGACAUCCUUACAUGUCCAAUGGUUAGGAAUAAUUUCCUUAUUUCCAUCUAUUCAUUAUUGGACUCGAGUUGGUUUUAACAAUAUACAAUUCAUCAUGACCAAAGUGAAGGAAUAACAACUUAUAUUCCAAACAUAUAUACAUCCAUUGUAUAAAUGUAUUCCAUCUUUAGGAAUGUCAAUGUCUCAAGGGAGUCUGUGCACUUCCAUAUUAUAAGAAAUGACAUUGCAAUCUCAUCAUCACAACAUGAAUUGUCACUACCACAAUUAAUUAAAUUAAACAAUGGCUGGAACUGCACCAUGCACUUCCAAAACCAAUAGCAAUAGCCAACACAGAUGAAAAUUGAUCACCCACGUGUUUUCAAAGCCCAUUGUUAAAUAAAGAAGGAUGGAAGAAAUUAAAUUUGGUUUAGCAGCCUUCUCCCACUAAUGACCGUUGGUUUGAGUACAACCAUUCAUACAAAAAAGUGUCCACAUAAGGUAAAACAAGACCAAAGUUAUUCAUUAUUUUGAAUCUCGAAUAUGUUGCAUUUUAACAAACCCAAAUUAGAGAAUAUUUUACUAUCAUUAUUCUCUCAAUGUAUAAUUUCAUGUAAGCAUCCAUUCAUACGUCAUUCACAAUAUUUUAAGAAAAGGGAUAGACAUAGUGCUUUUGAAAAUUGAACUGUCAUGGCUUGAAGGCAAAAGAACUCAAGCCUUUCAUAAUUAAAUCUUUUAAACAAACUGAAUUCUUGGAAUUCAAUCGAUACGUGAACGAAUAAGACUUAAUCAAAAUAAUACCCUAUGGAGCAUAACUGUUAAAAUGGCGUGAAUAGUAAAUAAUUCAUGCAAUAACAAAUUUAAAUCUCACACAUGCAUACACGUGCAAUUCCAUAUUCAGGCAUAUAAAAUAGAUUUGAUAUGUUAUCAAGCCACAUAAUCAAGUCAUGUAACUUACUUAUCAAAAUAUUAAAUGCACAAAAAUAAAAUUCAUCUUAAGAUUAUUGGGGAAUAUACCGAUUAUGUGCAUAUUAUAUCCACAAAAAAUAUACAUUUUAUGUUCACGAAAUCUAAACAAGGUUUCGAUUUACUGAAAUGGAGUUUGAGAAACUAAUAAAUGAUUAUCGAAUCUGACCAUUUCCAUUCUUGAAUUAAAAUAUGUGAUUUUUCAUAUCGAACCUUGCAUAAACCAUAUAAAUAAAAUUAAUCAUUUUCUAAAAUCAAGUAGAAAUGAAAUUAGAAAAAAUUAUAUGUAAGUGAUGCGAUUGGCCGAGACGAGUAUAACUCUUUCCUUAAGAUGAAUUUACCCCGCAUCGGUGCUAACGAUUUUUCGACUAUCAUCUCCCAAGAUAUAACGACCACGUCAAAUCAUAGGAGCACUCCAAAUGACUUCGAUCAGCGAACUUGAACAGAAUUCUCUCUCUACCAAGGAAAUUCAUGAAAAUGCUAUAGAAUUAGAAAUGAGAGAAUUGCAAGAGGAGAAUGAAUGCUCAAUGCAAUUGGUGUACCCAAAAUCAUGUCUAUAGAGUCCUAUUUAUAGAUGUAAAAAUGGUGCAAAUGAAGUAGUGUGGGUCAAAACAGGCAUCCUUUUGAAAAGUUGCAACACUUCAUUUCUUCCAACUUUGAUCCGCAAUUUCUCAUUCAUCCGAAAUUGAUUUCGAGAUUCCAAAUAUAUCACGACGAUCUACUCGACGAGUAGAAUAAGUUGGUCUAUUUACUUUUAUAAUUUGACCAUCGGAUCAAGCCCGAAUAUUUGGUCGAAGUUGACACGUAGUCACACCUUUUCAUUUUUCAAUUUUUGGUUAAUUAUUCGAACCAAUUCCUACAAAAUUUUUGGUUAAUUAUUUGAACCAAUUCCUACAACAAUACAAUGAAGACCUUCAUUGAGCACAUACACCCCCUUUCUCCAACUCUGAAAAAAAUAUAAUCUUCAACAAAUUGGAGUUAUAGUAUACACUACAUACAGAUUGAAAAAUUUAAUCUGGAAUAGAAUGAAGUUAAGAAUUUGACCCUAAAAACUGAAACCCAAAUCAAUAAUUUUUUUUACAUAGAUAAACAACUUUUUAUCUAUGUUGAUGUUAAUCUAUAUUUGACACGAAAAAAAAGACCAUAUCAUUAAAUGCCCGAAGAAUAUAUAAAUAAUCCCACUUUGCCUCCUUUUGUCUAUUAUUCUAUUUAUUUUAACAUAACAAAGUCAUCGAAGAGAUUUGAGGAGGUGGCGGCUGGUUGCUACCAUUUUGGAGAACACAUGUUUUAGUAGAUACUGUGACGAACUAAAUGACGUUAAAGUAAAAAUUUAUUUAAUCAACCUCCAAAAAGUAUUUUAUUAUUAUUAUUAUUAUUAUUAUUAUUAUUAUUGUUGUUGUUGUUGUUGUUGUUGUUGUUGUUGUUGUUGUUGUUGUUAUUAUUAUUUUAUUUUUAUUAUUAUUAUUUUUUUUGGAAUACUUAGCAGCCAUUAGAAAUUGCUUUCCUAUUUUCAAAAGAUUUUUAGCAAGGAAUGUUUUGAAGGUGGAACCACCAACCCCAACCACCACAUGGAGUAUCAACUAUCAAUGCAAGUUAUUCUACACUAGAAAAUAGUCACACAACAAGACAAGCACAAAGUUCAUGUUUUCUCCCAAUCAUUGACUAAUAUCUAUCUCUUUUAGUAUAUUUAAUACAUGUGAUGGAAUAAUUUUUAUAAUUGACAUCAAUUUUACAUUAAUUUUAACAAUUAGCCGCCAUUUAUUGUAAUUGAUAGCAUUUUUAAGUUAUACUCAUCAUGAAUAUAUAACGACAAACUGAUUAUUUUUAAAAGUAUACCAUCAAUGAAUACUUGAUAUCAUGAAGACAAUGCUUCUCAAGUGAUUAUGAGACUAUGUAGUUAAGAUAUGCAUGUCGGUCAUUAUUUUUUUCAUUUUGAAACAGUCUAAUUGAUAUUAUUUUCAUUGAUCAAGAACUAUUAUAUUAAUUCAAAUCACUCGAGGCUCAAACAACGCGAAUUCAAAUCACUCGUGGCUGAAAAAACGCGUGACAAAAACUAGAGAAAUACAAUAUAUCCACCCAUUAAGAAGAGGACCUUGAAUAGCGAAGAAGACAAGCCCAUGGACCAAUGUAUUCCACUCGCAGGAUACAUUGUAAUAAGGACCAAACCGCACCUUACGAGCACUUGGCAGAGGAAGUUCGCUCAAGUCCUUCUCCAUACUAAGUUAGACUACCUUACAAUUCUAUCCAUGAGACAAACACGUUAAAAUUUUGGGACAUGAAUGAUGACAUUUUUCAAAUAAUGAUGGAAAAAGUUCAUGAAGAUCCACGUGGCAUGUUUCAUCACAACUUCAACUAGAAGAAUUUUACAACUCAUGGAAGCACUUUAAGCAGGAAGUCAACAUUGCAAGUGUACCUACAAGAAAAUCUUAGCUUUUUAUUUGGGAAAAUGAAAGCUCCCUGCCCGUAAUAUAAGCAUUUAUGUUUUAAUUCCAUUUAUAAUGUCCAAAAAAUUUCAAUUAGCAAUGUAUUACGUGAUUCAUGCCCAAAAAGUUUUACGGCUAAAUUAUUGAGCAAUCUGUUAAUUAAUACUUGUUGAGGUGAUUAAGAAAUCAUCCCUGAAAAACCAAUAAAUAUACUCUGCGAGUCUCGCCCUCUACCUGCGAAGCAUAAGCGAUAUGUAAGUGAUAAGAAUAAAGAAGAAGCUCCUUAAACCUUUGCUUCCAAGCGUCCUUCUUAGAUAAAAAUUCAUGCAAGGUUAAAGCUUCUGGGAAAAAAAAAGUGCCUAAACAAAUUGCUAAAUAAAAUAAUGAAUUCAAAUUUUAAUGGAAUUAAAGUCAACUUUGUCGUCCACUCAAGAAUCAGCUGGAUGGAGAAAAUUAUAGACCGUACUGAUAUUUGUGUAAUGAAUAACAAUUGAGAAAUUCUUUAUAUUUAUUUAUUAUUAUUAUUAUUUUAUUUUAUUAUUUUUUUCAACCAUUUUGAGGGGUGGUUAUCAUUGGCCUUCUAAUCAAUGUUACGGGUGGAUCUAGAAAUUUUUCGUGUAAAUGAAAAAAAUCCAGCUAAGAAAUCAUCAAAAAGUUAAAGGAGCGUUUGUUUUGCGUUUCUAUUCUCUAUUUUCAGUUUUGAAUUCAUUUUCUAUUUUCUAUUUUCUAUUUUGAGGGAUUAUUUUAAGAAUGCAAAAAACGCGUUUGGUUUGUCAUUUGAAAAUCUGUUUCUCAAAACAAAACAAAAAAAAAUAGAAAACGAGUUUGGUUUAAAAAUUUUAGAAAUAGUUUUAUGACAUUUUCUUUUCAAUUAAUUUGAUUAUUUAGUAAAAUAUAUCAAUUUUAUGCGAAUUUAUGAUAAAAAAGCAACUUUUGUUAUCGUGAAUGAACCUAUCUCCAGCUCCAACUGCACCAGCCUCCUGUGAUCUUAAUAAACCUAUCCAUCAGUGCUACCAUCAUUCACCCAAUGAGACGAGCACACGAUCGAAUGAGUCCAAACCCUAUUUGGCGUGGCUUAAAAAUUUGAAAAAUAUUUAACUUAAACUCAACAAUUAAUUUAAAUUACACAUUUUAUAGGACCAACUAUGUUUAUCAACUUUUAACCACACAUUUCAUGACUUUUAUCAAAAUUUACUAAAAGUCUCAUUUUUAACAUUGCCAAACAGGGGCCAAAUAACAAUUGGUCCAGCUGGUAAUUGUGUUCAUCCAUAUGUACAAUUGUUUCUCUCCAUCCAAAGGAUUAUGCAUAUACGUUCAAACUUCUCUAUUGCUCGUAAAUGGUUUCUGAAUAGUUAUCUUGUGAUGGCUAAUAAUGGUCCAUUAGUUAAUAUUAUAUUUAAUGACUGCUAUAAACAUGAUCAAUAUUUCAAUAAUUAUUAUGUUAAGGUUAUUAAUACCAUUACGAGCAAAUCUGUAACAAUUUGCAUUGCCACCACAAAAAUUUUUAAUGACAACCGAAUAUUCGAUGACUGGUUAGCCAUUGUGUAAGCUAUAAUCAAAACAAAUAUUUUUAUUUCACAUUAAGAACCAUGCAUGGAACCUUCUGGUAGUAGUACACAAUAACAUGACAUUGGAAUUAAAAUCAACAUGAAAACACCACCUUAUUAACCAAUGGAAAAUGUCUCAUUACAAGGAUUACGCUUUUCAGGGCACUUAUCCAAGCAACUGAUUUUUAUUCGAAGUUUUAAUUUUGUGAAAAGACAGAUAAAAGGAAAACAAGCAAGUGGUUAUGCAAUGAUAUCCCACAACGUGACGAUUCAAUCUCUGACGAUUUGAUUAGGAUCGACUGCAUAGAGAUUUAUCGUUUUUUUGAAAUCACGCUAAAUCUUGUGCAGAAUGAGUGGAGCACCGUAUUGUGGUUGCACAGUAAAAAUAACAUAGGGAGCAUGUGUAUAAGUUGGUGCAAGCUCAAAGGAGAAGUUGCUCAGAAUAUUUGCCAAGACAAGUUUGGCUUCCAAUAGAGAGUAGUUCUGUCCAAUGCACACUCGGGGACCUGAACCGAAUGGGAAAAAUGCAAGGCGCCCAUUUGUUGCUUUCAAUACUCCUUCAGCGAACCUUUCUGGUUUAAACUCAUUUGCAUCUUCGCCCCACAAUUCUGUGUCUCGGUGAAGUAUGAUUAUUGGCAACAUCAAUAGUGUAUCGGCUGGGAUAGUGUAUUGUCCUAACUUUGUUUCUUCUUCAACCAGUCUAGACAGUUCAACAAUUGGUGGAUACAGCCGUAAUACCUCAUUGAAAAUCAUUGUUGUCUGUGAGGAUGAUAAAGGAUCUCAAACAAUAAGGGAAGAGAAUGA
rnacentral:lncRNA from 1 species